UAUAAAACUUAAAAUUUUGACCCAAAGUAUAAGCAAAAUGGUUUAUAUCCUUUAUUUGCUCAAUCUAUUUUUUAUUCUUUUAAUUUAUCUUUCAACUAUUCCAUAAAAACCGAGUAAUUAAAAUGGGCCUUUACUGACAUAAAAUGGGACCAAUAUUAACUUUUUCUUUUUUUCGUGUUUGUCGUUGUUCAAUUAUUUUUAGCGGUAGUUGGAGUGGUCAAAUCAAGAUUGGUAGGUGGUUUAGUCGCAACAUCCAUCACUAAAAUUUCUGCAUUAUCAUCUCCGAUAUGAGAUUUUAUACCGGAAAAUAAGAUUGAAUAUGGAAAAACAUACCAGUAUAAGACCUUUGAUGGUUUGAUCACUGUAGUUAUGAGGCUCUUUUUCUUGAGAAUCAAGUAAAUGAGCAAUCAUGGUGUUCUUAAACUCCAAUCUGUCUUUGUUAGCUCUAUGCUCAUCCAAAAACCCUUGUAAUAAACUAUCCAUCCUUUCUCCAAUCCUCUUUGCUCUCUUGACCAAACCUUUGUAGUCAAACCACCGUAGAGCCGGCAAAAAAUCAGCUGGAUUGUCCGCCGCAGAGAGCUCUAGAAUCUCCGCCACUAGUUCCCGGAACUCCAAACUUAUCCCCGCCUUUCCGCCAUCAUCUUCCUCGAAGAAUCUCUUUCCGGUCAUCAUUCUCAUUAUCACAUUUAGGGUAAGACCCGUUAGUAACUGUCGUAACUCCACCUAGAUAACAAAAAAUUAAAAUGAAGUUCUUAUUUUGUUAUGAUUUGAUAUUAACUGGUUUACGAGCCAUUAUCACAUUUUGUUAUUAUGUAACCUAAGAUACAUUAAAAAAAAAAAAAAAAACUAAGAGACGUUUAAGGAUAGAUAGUACUUUCUAGUUUCUAUAAUUUGAUAUUGAUAGCAACGGAAAGAAGAUGAACUGUUUGAUCCACUUACUAAAUCGAGCAAAUUUAGUUCUAUCAUGUAUCCAUAUGUAAUCAACGAUUUUUAACAAGGUUAAAGCUUUUAAAAUAAAAAAAUAAAAAAUCAUUGUUUAUCAAUUCAUGGAUUCUAUGUAGUUAUUUUUUUCUUAAAAUAUUAUUAAUUACCUGAAUUUCAUGUUUUCUCAAAAUUUUAUUCGUAGUGUAAGCUAUUUAUUGUCUUAAAUUUGACAAUCUAUAAAAAAAUAUAAACAAAAAAUGCAACGUGAAAACAUAUGAUUAUAUAACGGCAGUUGAAUUUGUUUUCCAGUUAAUUUUCUCAUACCUAUAUAAGUAUAAAAUAUCAUAUACAUAUUGUGUGGUUUAAACAUUUCAAUGAAUUAAAUAUAAUAUAAGAUUUUAAGGUAUGAUGAACCUACUUUAGCCGGGCGUUCGACAGAUAAAUCGUGAAGCUUUUGGAGAAGCAUCUUAACUUCGUCAUGUCGGAUUUCCGCUGAAGCGUUGAGUCGAUUUGUGGAGAAGACUUCUAAAGCGGUGAUACGACGGAGGUUUCGCCAGUGGUCACCGUAAGGAGCCGUAACCAUGGAGGUGUAGUCAUAAGCCACAUACUUGCCCAUGAUGAAACGAGGCCGAUUUGCUAAAACGAUGUCGUUUUUCGUCAAGAAGCAUUCUUCGGCUGCCGUUGGAGAUGAGAUGAUAACGGCAAGGCGAGAGCCGAGGCGUAGAGAAAAGACGGGGCCGAGGGAGUGGGAGAGAUGGCUGAGAGUCCGGUGUAGCAGUGGCUUUUUGAGGAGGUGAAGGUGUCCGAUGAUCGGAAAACAUAUAUUUGGCGACGGUGGAAGGUUUUUGUUAGGUUUAGUGACUAGGAGAACAAUCUUGACGAUGAAAAUGGCAACAAGAGUAGUCAGAAUAAGUAAAAUACAAUCCAUAUAUAACUCCUUUUCUCUUCUUUUUUUCUCUAACUUUGUGUAUAUUUUGGUUUCUCCUCCGUGCGCUAUUAAAUAAUAUAGUAUAAGAUACUGAUUUUUAAACACUCUUUAAUUCAUGCAUUUACAAAGUCAAAUAACAAAAUAGUGCAUACAAUAGUGAUAAAAUUAGCGUACUAAUUUGGAAAAACAAGCACCAAUUUUCUUUUCUUUUAUUUCUUUUGUUUUUGUAAAAUAAGGAAAAUUCCUAUAAGACAAGUAAACAAUGAAUUUGACAAACAAACAGAAAAAUCAUACUACAUUGGAGUGUCGUGAACAAGUCUAAUGUAUAACCACUUAUGUCUCUUUCAUUUGAUCAAUCCAAAAGGUUUUGUUGAAAGUUCUCGAUAAGAUAAAAAUUCAAUCGAAAUUCUUAGAUUUCCAUCCAUUAUUGUCUUUACAAUAAUAUUGCUUGGUUGACAUUUUCUACAACUAUAAUCAUCAAAACGUGGCAGAUUCGGUACCAACACUAACAUGAAAUCCAAACUUUUCGUUUUUAACAACAGUCCUUUUAUUAAAAAAAAAAUAUUAUACUUUUAGCUUAUGCUGAAUUACUAGUUCAGACAGUGAAGAACAUAUGUAUACAGAUUUGUUAAUGGGUAUUUAAUUUAAAAUGCAGAGAAAGACAACAUUUUGACGAGGCCCAACACAUGCCCACUACAUGACCAAGUCACCAAACCAAUUCUAAAUUUCAAGAAACCAACAUUGGAGAGAUGGAAACAGUGAAAUUUUGGUUCUGUUGAACUUUCUAUAGAAGCCGUGACAUUGCUCUGCAUCCAACUAAUUGACCACAGAAUACUUUUAUUUUCCAUGAACACGUGGAAUGUAAGAAACUAUAUAGGUUUCUACACAAUAGAUCCUACAUACGUCAAUUAUAUCGUUUUACCAACAAUGGCACGUGCCUUGCACAUAGCUCGCAACGGAGUAGCUUUAGGCAUAGUGAUCCCUUCGCCUUCAGUCAUGUCCACAAGUUCUGCACCAACUCUCUCCCACUCGAAAGACUGAAUCAAGCACCCAAGAGCAAGGCUCACUAACCGCUUCCCAAGCUCAGCUCCAGGACAAGCUCGUCGUCCCAUCCCAAACGGCAUUAGCUUUCGAGCCUCUCCUUCUUUCUCGAACCUCUCCGGCUUGAACCUCUCUGGCUCUUCCCAUAAACCUGGAUCUCUAUGCAUCGCCCAUACGUUUGUUAAUAACAACGUGCGACGUGGCAUAUCGUAGCCCGCCACUUUACAUUCAUCCGAUGAGAAAUGAGGGAGUAGUAGUGGAACCGCAGGAUACAAACGUAAUGUUUCUGACACAAUGUUUUGGAGAUAAUGGAGAUUUACAAUAUCUGAUUCUUCAACUAACCGGUCUGAACCGAUUUUAUCAUCGAUCUCCGCUCUCGCUUUCUCAAGUAUCUCUGGAUGGUUCAGCAAAUUUGACAUUGCCCAUUCCAACGUCACUGAAGAUGUAUCUGUCCCCGCAAGAACCAAAGCCUGUGUAUAUAUAUAUCUCUAAUAAGUAAACCCACUCCACAUAUAAGGAGGAUAAUAUUAGUUAAUAAGAACUUACCAGUAUGAUUCCUUUGAUGAUGACAUCAGUAUAGUACUCGGGUUCGGUUUCUUGGAAAGAAAGCAAAUGAUCGAUCAAAGUUUGACCCUUUUCUUUCUCUGCACGUUUCUCAUCAACCAGUUUUUGCAGGACUCUAUCGAGUCGAUUCCCCAAGAUUUUGGUCUGGUUCUCAAAGUUUGUGACCCAAUUUAUGGACGGAAGAUAAUCAGCCAAAUUUCCAGAACCGGCGCCGGCCAUUAUCUCCGCUAUAAGUUCCCUCACGAGCUUGGCUUCAUCAUUGUCUUCUGUACCGGUACCGUAAUAUCGUUUUCCGGCUACCAUCAUGAUGAUGUUGUUGAAUGCCAAGUUGGUUAAUAACGAUUUCAACUCCACUUCAACAAAUCCCUGCAGUGGGACGAUUACUAGUCAAGUUUAUUACAUUGUGUAAUUUUUAAUAGAUCUAUAUCAAAGGUGUAUAGUUCAGUUCCAUCUAUGACGACUGAGAGCUUUUAUUUUAUUUUCUGUCGUGACAAAUUUGAUGCAUACAAGUAACCUAACUGAUAAAUAUAUUAUUUUCCAGCCAAUAAGCGACAAAUAAUUAAAUAUGCGUGUUAAUAUAAUAAAGAAGGGCGGCUUGAAAGUGGAAAAUCCUACUCACAUGGACAAAUUCAACCGCAAUAGUCGAUAAAUAAAAAUUUUGAUUUUUGAUAUUUUGUUUUUUGGUAAAUUUUAGUAAUGCCAAAGUAAAUAAAAGAUAAAUAAUGAGUUAAAUAAGAAGGUGGUUACGUACGUGCAAGGAGUCUCUAGAGAGAUGUGUUAUGAGCCGUCGGAUCUCGUCUUUACGGAUAGAAGAAAAGGUACUGAUUCUAUGAGAAGAAAAUAUCUCGACGGCGGCGAUGCGGCGGAGAUUCCUCCAGUGGUCGCCGUAAGAUGCUGCAAUCAUAUUGGUAAAGUUAUAGCCGACGUGUUUGGCCAUGAUGAUAUCAGGACGGUUCGCAAGAACGACGUCGUUUUUGGUGAAACAUUCUUCGGCUAUGGAGUGUGAGGAGAUGACGUAAACGAGGCGGUUUCCCAGGCGGAGGUGGAAGAUUGGAGCAUUUCCAAGGGACUUAGAGAUGGAGUGGAAUGUUCGGUGGACCGGUUGCUUGAGGAGGUGGAGGUGGCCGAUAACCGGUAAAGGGUAAGCCGGAGAAGGAGGAAGAUUAGGUUUCCGGUUAGAUUUUGUGAGCAAGAGUUUGAUGGAGAUAGUGAGAAAGAGAAAGGAGAGGAGUAGGAUUUGGGUGAGGUCCAUUUUCUUGUUGAUUGCUUCUUUUGUUUUUGGGUUUUUCUUUCUUUUUGUGUAAAGUUGUGUCGUGUGUGGGAUCGAGAUGGACCAGAUGGGUACUUUGUGGCCUUUAAAACACGAAAAUUAAUUGACUGAAAACUAAAGAGACUUGAAUUUUUGGAAAUGGUUGGAUAGAGAUUUUGAUCUGCUUUUUGAAAGAGAAGGUAAUAACUAAUUUUCAAUGAGAAAGUUAGGUAAAUUUCCUUUUUUAGUAUAGUAAAUAUACUAAAUAGGAUGUAGAAGGUAAAUUUCCUUUUUUAAUCUACCCUUUACAUAUCUACCUUCUACAUAGGACAACCGAAAUAUCUAAAAGACAGUACUUGCCGACUUAAAAAAUCUAUUAAAAAGACAAUUUAUGUCCCUGUUAUUACGUAGCUUAAUUGGGGGCGAUGAAUAGAAAAUAUAGAAUCACAAGACUCAAUGCAUUUAUUAUCGAAUCUGUAGUGACUUUAUGUGAUGUGAAUUUUAUACUAUAUGAUAGUUCUUUUUUUACGAUUCUUCACGUUUUACUGGAGAAUACGGGUCAAGUAUAAAAUACGGGUCAACGACUCAACGUGACCUAUUGAUUUUACAACUUCAUUAAAAACACUAUAUUUAACCUAACUAUAAUGCAAUCACAUUAAAAAAUAUAUCAAUCAAUAAAACAUUGGACCAACAACGCAAGAGCCAGCCCACUAACCCGGUGAGCAAGCCCAGCUUCAUUGACCCGAUGAUAUUAAGCAAGAUUCAAAGAUACAACAAAAGAUUGAAGGACGAAUUGAAGACCAAAACACAUAAUUAAAAACAUGUCAUUAAAUAGAAUACAUUUUUCAACGUAAAACAUUUAUAUCAGUUUAUCAACAAUAGAACGUGCUUUGCACAUGGCUCUUAAUGGUAUAGCUUUGGGCAAUGUGGCUCCUUUGUCUUCGGUCAUGUCCACAAAAUCCUCACCAACUCUUUCCCACUCAAAACAUUGAACCAAACUUCCAAGAGCCUGGUUUAUUAGCCGAUGAGCUAGCCCGGCUCCAGGACAAGCUCUUCGUCCCAUCCCAAAUGAGAUUAGCUUCUCAGCCUCUCCUUCUUUUUCAAAUCUUUCUGGUUUGAAUAUCUCAGGAUCUUCCCAUACCUCUGGAUCUCUAUGCAUGGCCCAUGCGUUGGUCAAUACCAUUGUUCCACUUGGUAUAUCGUAGCCUCCAACUUUACAAUCUUCUGAUGACAAAUGAGGUAGUAGUAGUGGGACUGCCGGGUACAUACGUAGUGUUUCCAAUACAAUGCUUUGGAGAUAAGAGAGAUUUACAAUGUCCGAUUCGUCUACUAAUCGGUCUAAACCGACUUUUUCAUCGAUUUCCAUUCUCGCUUUCUUAAGUAUUUCUGGAUGGUUCAACAGAUUUGACAUUGCCCAUUCUAGUGUUACUGAUGACGUAUCUGUCCCUGCAAUUAUCAGGGUCUAAACAAAAUUUCAAUCAUUAAACUCUCUCUAUAUAUAUAUAAAAACUUUCUUAUUGAUUGAUACUUACAAGUAUGAUUCCUUUGAUGAUGACAUCCGUAUAGUAAUCAGGUUGAAUGUCUUGGAGAGCAAGCAAGUGAUCGAUCAUAGUUUCACCUUUUUCCUUCUCCGCACGUUUUUCGUCGACUAAUUUCUGCAAAAACGUAUCAAACCUAUUUCCCAAAUUCUUGAUUCGUUUUUCAUAACUCGAGACCCAACGUAAAAUGGAAAGAUAAUCAAUGGGGUUUCCUGCACCGGCGCUGGUCACCGCCUCCGACACAAGGUUCUUCACGAGUUUAGCGUCAUCGUUGUCCUCACCGAAAUAUCUCUUCCCGGCCAACAUUCUGAUGGUGGUGUUGGAUGCCAAAUUGGUUAACAAUGUUUUCAUCUCUACCUCCACAAAUCCCUGAGAGUACGAAUACAAUAUUAGUAAACAGAUAAGAGUUUUGGUAAGUAUGUAAAAAUUUGUGCAUUUCCAUAUUCGCCACCUUAACAUAUUAGAACAAUGUGUUUAUUUUGAACCAAAUAAUUAUUCAACCAACUUAAGACAAUUAAAACCUACACUGCAUCUUUUUCUAUAAAUUUAAAAUUAAGCUUUUCUGUACAUUUGUAAUUUGUGAAUAAACUAUGUAAUAUUUAUGAAUAUAGUGAUCAGACUUUCGUGAAUAAAUAGCUAGUAUCGUAAUAUACACGCAAUGCUUCAAAAAAAUAAACUAGUCACAUGGACAAUUUAUCACCACAAUAAAUAUAAAAGUAUGUACUAUAUGAAAGUAGUCGUCACGAGUAAUGAAUAAAUAAUAAAUUUGUUAGUUGACAAACCAAAGAUAAAGUAAUGAAUACAGAACAAAUAAUAAAUAAAAAGAAUUGAAGGAGAUCAUACGUGUAAGGAAUCACGAGAGAGAUGUGAAAUGAGCCGUCGGAUCUCGUCCUUACGAAUAUACAGAAACGAAUUGAGUCUAUGAGUGGAGAAUAUCUCGACGGCGGCUAUGCGGCGGAGGUUCCUCCAAUGAUCGCCGUAAGAUGCCGAGAGUAAGUAGGUGGCGUUGUAGCCGAGGUGCUUACUUAUGGUGAACUUGGGGCGGUUCGCGAGAACGACAUCGUUCUUUGUGAAACAUUCUUCAGCGAUGGAACGUGAAGAGAUGACAUAAACGAGGCGAUUUCCGAGUCGGAGAUGGAAGACCGGAGCAUUUCCGAUGGAUUUGGAAAGGGAAAGGAAGGUACGGUGAAGCGGUGGCUUGAGGAGAUGGAGGUGUCCGAUCACCGGCAAGGAGAUCGCCGGCGACGGAGGAAGGUUUAGUUUCCGUUUGGAUCUUGUGAGCAAGAAUAUGGCUAAGGUAAAAAGAGAGAGAAAUGAGAGGAUCAAGAUUUGGUUCAAAUCCAUUUUGUUUGUUUGUGGGGCUCUCUCUCUUUCUUUCUUUUCGUCUCUCUUUUUUUUACUAUUGUUUUGGAGAUAUAUACAUGUGGUCAAGGAAAUAUAUUAUUUUUAAAAAUUAUGCUCUAUAAAAGAUAAUGUACUAUUGUCACAAGUUCAAAUUCGAACGUUGGACUCUAAUUAAGAAAAACCUUUUAAAAAAGCAGACGAAAUUAUAAUUCUAGAUUUCUUCUCAAGAUUUUCUUUCUUAAAAGUAAAAUAUAAGUGUAUUAAUAUAUUAUUUGGAUGUAUCACCUCGAAAUUAUUUCCUCUUUUUACAUAAUAACAAAAGUAGUACAAAAGUAACCGUUACUCAAAAAACACAAAUUAGCAUUUAGUACAAAAGUCUAAGCUCAAGCGGACUCGUUGAGGAUCUUACCAACAACGGGGCGUGCUUUGCACAUGGCUACCAACGGUAUAGCUUUGGGCAUUAUGACUCCUCCUCCACCUUCAGUCAUAUCCACCUCUUCUUCUCCUAUCCUCUCCCACUCAAAACAUUGAAUCAAAGACCCGAUAGUCAAGCUCGCUAGCCGUUGAGCCAGACCGGACCCAGGACACGCCCUUCUUCCUAGCCCAAACCCCAAUAGCUUCUGAGCCUCCCCUUCUUUCUCGAACCUCUCUGGUUUGAAGCUCGUUGGAUCAUCCCAUAUCUUAGGAUCCCUAUGUAUUGCCCAUGCAUUAGUCAAUAGCAUCGUUCCACGUGGCAUAUGGUAACCCCCUACUUUACAGUCUUCUGAUGCUACGUGAGGAACCAACAAGGGACUCGCAGGGUAUAAGCGCAACGACUCGGACACAAUGUUUUGAAGAUAAGGAAGAUGUGAGAGGUCUGAUUCCUCUACAAGCCUGUUGAGGCCAACCUUAUUAUCGAUUUCAUCUCUCGCCUUGCUUAGUAUCUGUGGAUGGUUCAACAAAGCUGACAAUGUCCAUUCCAAUGUUACUGCGGAUGUAUCAGUCCCCGCUAGUAUAAGAGACUUCAACACAAUGGACGCAUACACAAAAAAACAAACAUAACUAAUUAAUCCCAUACCAAAUGUGACAAUAGACUAAUGAACUUAAAAUGUUACUCACGAGCAUGAUUCCUUUGAUAAUGUUGUCCGUGUAGUACUCGGGUUGGGUUUCUUGCAGACAAAGCAAGUGAUCAACCAUUGUGUUCUGCCUUUUCUCCUUCCCUUCUCGUCUUUCAUCGACCAAUCCCUGCAAGAACUCAUCAAGCCUACUAGCGAUCUUCUUUAUCCGUUUCUCGGAACCUGUGAUCCAAGUCAGGAUCGGUAAAUAAUCAGCAGUGUUUCCAGCACCAAAACAACCCAUUCCCUCUGCUAUAAGCUCCCGCACGCGUUUAGCCUCCGGGUCAUCCUCUGCACCAUCUCCGUAGUAACAUUUUCCAGCCAACAUUCUUAUAAUGUUGUUGAAUGUUAAGUUAGAAAACAUUGAUUUCAUCUCAACCUUUGUAAAUUCCUGCAAAAUUUAUUGUAUAUCAUAUGUUAAAUAUUUGCUACAAUUCACUGAAAUUCACCUAUAAGCAGAGAUUGACUAGGGACUAAGGAUUCUGAUUAUAAUAAAUUUUGCUAAUUAGCAUAAAAUUGGAACAAAGAACAAAGAACAAACUUACGAGUGAAGAGUUCCGUGAGAGACAAGCUAUAAGCCGGUGGAUCUCGUCUCGGCGGAUAGAUGAAAAGCUAUUGAGACGGUGAGCCGAGAAUAUCUCAACAGCGCCAAUACGGCGGAGAUUUCUCCAAUGGUCGCCGUACGAAGCUGUAACAACCGUUGUGCAGCCAUAUGAGAUGUGUUUUGAAGCAAGGGAGUUGAAGCGGUUCGCGAGUACGACGUCGUUCUUUGUGAAGCAUUCCUCGGCGAGUGAGUGUGAAGAGACAACGAAAACGAGUCGGUUGCCGAGACGGAGGGAGAUUAUCGGAGCAUCGCCUAGGGACUCAGAGACGGAUAGAAAAACUCGGUGGAGUGGCGGCUUGAGAAGGCGGAGGUGACCGAUCACCGGUAACGCCCACGACGGACUCGGAGGAAGGUUAGGUCUUCGCUUGAUUCUUCCGAUGAUAAACGUGAGAGAAAGAGAUAUGAAAAGGAAUGUGAAAAUUAGGGUUUGACCUUCCAUAUUUGACUUCUUCUUCCUCAAGGAUCUUCAGGGGUUGUAACAGAGGAUGAUGUGGUGCAAAAUCUGCUUGAACUACUCCAUAGACGUUGACUUCGAAAACAGAAUCUUAUUUCGGCCAAAUCACAUGUGCCCAUUAGUCGUUUAGAUACCUAAUCAUUAUUAUUUAUUUAUUUUAGCUAAUUAUAUGACAUUUAGCAUAGCAAUGCCACACCUAGAUUUUUUUAUUUUUUUUUCACACCUAGAAUUUUGUUUGAUUGAUAACACUGAACAUUCAUAUUUGUAAGACUGUAACAUAAUUAACAAUGGGUUAUUGGAAAUUAGAAUAUGAUUUUUGUCUCUGAUUUUUAUUAUGCUAAUACGUUUCAUUUAAUUCGUUACCGUUGCUAAGCAACGUAUUAGCAUUUUACAUACAAAAACUCAAGAGGAGUCGGGUAAGAUUUUACCAACAAAGUCACGUGCUCUGCACAUAGCUUCCAACGGUCUAGCUUUCGGCAUUGUGAGUCCUGGACCUUCAGUCAUAUCGACCUCUUCUUCUCCAAUCCUCUCCCAUUCAAAACAUUGAAUCAAAGACCCGAGACUCAAGGUCACUAGCCGCUGAGCCAAACCGGAUCCAGGACAUGCCCUUCUUCCUAGCCCGAACGGCAUUAGCUUCUUAGCCUCUCCUUCUUUCUCGAACCUCUCUGGCUUGAAGCUCGUUGGAUCAUCCCAUAGCAGGGGAUCCCUGUGUAUAGCCCAUGCAUUAGUCAAUAGCAUCGUCCCACGCGGCAUAUCGUAUCCCCCAACUUUACAAUCUUUCGAGGCUACGUGAGGAAGCAGCAUAGGGGCUGCAGGGUACAGACGUAACGUUUCAGAUACAAUGUUCUGUAGAUAAGGAAGAUUUGGGAUGUCUGAUUCCUCCAAAAGCCUGUCUACACCGAUCAUUCUGUCGAUCUCGUCUCUGGCCUUGUUCAGCACCUCAGGAUUGUUCAACAAGCUUGACAAUGCCCAUUCCAAUGUUACCGCUGUUGUAUCAGUCCCCCCUGCUAUAAGAGACUGCCCAUUGCACAUAUACAAGAAAAAUAACAUAAGCUAGUUCCUUCACAAUUCAUACCAAAUGUGACCAUGACUACUUAAAAAAGCUAUUCUCUGUUACUUACAAGCAUGGUUCCUUUGAUGAUGCGGUCCAUGUAGUACUCUGGUUGGGUUUCUUGCAGACAAAGCAAGUGAUCAACCAUCGUGUUCUCCUUCUUCUCCUUUCCUUCUCGUUUCUCAUCGACCAAUCCUUGCAAGAACUCAUCAAGCCUACCAGCGAGCUUCUUUAUCCGUGUCUCGGAAUAUGUGAUCCAAGUCAGGAUCGGUAUAUAAUCAGCAGCGUUUCCAGGACCAGAAGAACUCAUAGCCUCUGCGAUAAGCGUCCGCACGCGUUUGGCCUCCGGGUCAUCUUCUUUACCGUCUCCAUAGUAACACUUUCCGGCUAGCAUUCUAAUGAUGUUGUUGAAUGUUAAGUCAGAAAACAUUGAUUUCAUCUCAACCUUAGUAAACCCCUGCAAAAAUAACACACCUCCAUAAAACUUUAAUAGCACAAAAAUUUACAAAAAAACUUUGCUAAUAGCAUAAAAGAAAUUAUAAAUUAGUAUUCAAGGUCUAAUCCUUUUGGAACAAAGACUUCACUUACGUAAGAAGAGUUCCGUAAGAGACGGCCUAUAAGCCUCCUGAUCUCAUCGCGGCGAAUAGAGGAAAAGCUAUUGAGUCUAUGAGCCGAGAAAAUCUCUAAGGCGCCGAUGCGGCGGAGAUUUCUCCAGUGUUCGCUGUACGAAGCAGAGACCACGGUGGAGUUGCCGUAUGAGAUGUGUUUUGUAGAAAUGGUGGUUUGUCGGUUCGCGAGUAUGACGUCGUUCUUCGUGAAGCAUUCCUCGGCGAUUGAGUGUGAAGAGACAACGAAUAGGAGUCGGUUGCCGAGACGGAGGGAGAUGAUCGGAGCGUCGCCUAAAGAUUGAGAGACGGAGAGGAAAACACGGUGGAGUGGUGGCUUGAGAAGACGGAGGUGACCGAUCACUGGUAACGCCCAUGCAGGACUCGGAGGAAGGUUGAGCUUUCGCUUGAUUCUUCCGAUGAGGAAUAUGAGAGAGAGAACUAUGAAACAGAACGUGAAGAUAAGCAUUAGAGCUUCCAUAUUGAUCACGUUGGAUUUUGGUGAGUGAUGAAGUUGGCAAAUCUAGUGUGCUUAAAUAGAUUGAAAAACAGAACAAAAAAUAGACUCAAACAAAAACCCAAUUUUUUAUUUUGACAAAUGGACUCAUUGAGGAAAACGUUACAUGAUUUUCUUGUGUCACAUUUAUUGUUUGUUGAUAUUUGGAUUUUUUGACUUUUUUAACUCAGUUUCAUUUGUUAAUUACACAUUAUUUUAUAGUAAAAUCACUUUGAUACACCUUUAUUUUGGGGAAAUUGUAUAUUAAGGAUCUUUUCCAAAAGUUUGUCCUCUAUACUUUAUAUAGAUAAAAAUUUGGUGAAAUAGGUUUUAAGGAAAAUUAAAAACCAAUUAUACCCUUAAUAUAAAAUGAAUUAAAAUACAGAAUUGAAGAAAUAUGAUUUUAUAUCUCCAAUCCAAAAACUCUCAAUAGAAUAGAGGCUUACUUCCAAAUCCCAAUUAUAAAACCAUCUCUAAUGUUGAGAACCACAUGAAAGGCUCUCACCCUUUUUUAAGUUUAAAUUUUGAUUUUAUCAAACUUAAGAACUUGAAUUAAGUUUUAUCUCCUCAACCUAUCACGGCUCCCUCAGCUUCCAAAAUCUCUCUUCAAAUAGUUUACUCUCUCAAAUUUAAUCAGUUUUGAUGAUUUUAUUUUAAUCACCAAAAUCAAGAAAACUCUCUCAAAUUAUCAAGAGAACCUUGCAUUGGAGAUACUUAAUAUCUAAUUUUUUCCUUUUUUUUUGGUUUAAUGCUUAAAGUUAAAACACUUUGUUAUUUAUUGCUAGUAGAUUUCCCCGUAGCAAAAUUUAGUUUUGGUUUUGUAUCUUCAUCAUUUUUAUCGCUCGUAUCAGCAUCGUUCAACGUGUGAGAGAACUUAAAACAUUAAAUUUCAAGCGUCCGCUAGAAACCAAUAACAUACAAGCCUCAUCAACCUUAAAUAUUUUAAAUCACAUACCCAAAAUAUCAUCUAGGAAUAUAGGUUAAAUAUUCACAUAUACAUUAACAUACAAACAUAAUAUUUUCACCAAAAAAAAAGAAAACAUACAAACAUAACUAGUUAUCUAAUGUAUACAUAGCCAUUACCAAAAGUCUAAACGUCAAACGGACUCGUUGAAGAUUUUAACAACAGAGGGACGUGCUCUGCACAUGGCUUCCAAAGGCUUGGCUUUAGGCAUUGUAACACCUUUGCCUUCACUCAUAUCCACUUCUUCUCCAAUCUUCUCCCAUUCCAAACACUGAAUCAAUGAUCCAAGAGUCAGGUUUAUAAGCCGAUGAGCCAGUCCAGAACCAGGACACGCCCUUCUUCCUAACCCAAACGGCAUUAGCUUCUGAGCUUCUCCUUCUUUCUCAAACCUCUCUGGCUUGAAGCUCAUUGGAUCAUCCCAUAGCUGAGGAUCUCUGUGUAUAGCCCACACAUUGGUCAAUAGUAUCGUGCCACGCGGCAUAUCGUAUCCUGCAACUUUACAAUCUUCCGAGGCAACGUGAGGAAGAAGCAUGGGAGCCGCAGGAUAAAGGCGCAACGUUUCAGACACAAUGUUUUGGAGAUAAGGCAGGUUUGAGAUAUCUGAUUCAUCCAUAAGCCUGUCUAAACCUAUCUUUCUAUCGAUUUCAUCUCUCGCCUUGUUCAAUACAUCCGGAUGGUUCAACACGUUCGACAAUGCCCAUUCUAACGUAACCGCUGAUGUGUCGGUCCCUGCUAGUAUCAAAGCCUGAAAAUUGCACACAUACACGUCACUAAACUAGCAUGUUUCAUACCAAAAUAUGACAAGGAGUGAUCUAAAGAAUUGAUCGAAAAAGGGUACUUACGAGCAUGUUUCCUUUAAUGAUACGAUCCGUGAAGUAAUCCGGUUGGGAUUCUUGCAGAGUAAGCAAGUGAUCGAUCAUAGUGUUUCCUUUCUCCUUAGCUUCUCGUUUCUCAUCAACCAAUCCUUGCAAGAACUCGUCGAGCCUACCCGCCAACUUCUUAACCCGUGUCUCGUAAUCUGAAACCAACCGCAAAACCGGUAAGUAAUCAACAGCGUUUCCAGCACCAGCACAAGCCACCACAUCCGCUAUAAGCUGCCGGACACGUUUAGCCUCCGGAUCAUCCUCAACACCGUCUCCGUAGUAACGUUUUCCGGCCACCAUUCUUAAAAUGUUGUUGAAUGUUAAGUCAGAUAACAUUGAUUUCAUAUCCACUUUCACAAACUCCUACAAUGACAGAACAGAGAGUCCACAAAACAGAGUAUAGUUAGAAUAAAACAGAGUAUUAAUUAAAUCCAAAUUCGUGAUUAAGAGCUAAUUAACUAAGUUUUAAAGCUCGCUUACUUGUGAAAAGUUCCGAGAAAGACGAAACACAAGUCGUCGGAUCUCGUCUUUACGAAUAGACAAAAAGCUAUUGAGACGGUGAUUGGAGAAUAUCUCGACGGAGCCGAUGCGGCGGAGGUUACGCCAGUGGUCACCGUAGGAAGCUGCGAUCAUGGUUGUGUAAUCGUACGCAACGUGUUUAGCGAGGAUGAAGUUUGGUCUGUUCGCCAGUACGACGUCGUUUUUGGUGAAACAUUCCUCGGCGAUCGAGUGUGACGAGUUCACGAAAACGAGUCGGUUACCGAGUCGGAGGGAGAAGAUCGGAGCAUUGUUUAGGGAUUGAGAGAGGGAGAGGAAUGUGCGAUGAAUCGGUGGUUUGAGAAGGCGGAGAUGACCAAUCACCGGUAAUGACCAUGCCGGACUCGGAGGUAGAUUUGGCUUUCGCUUGAGUUUUCCAAUUAAGUAAAUGAGAGAGAGAACAACGAAGAGAAUUGAGAAAAUUAGGGUUUUGGUUUCCAUGUUUUAGAUCUAUUUUGGUGAGUGAAGCAGUUUUGGAAACUUUUGUGGGGUUAAAUAGAUUAGAACAAAAUUAAUAAACAAAGUUCAAUUUUGAUUUUAGUAUUGACUAUUUGACAUUUUGACUCAUUGACCAAUGUUCUCGAAGUAGCAAAAUCUGACUUGAUUCUAUCUUUAUGGUUACAAAAGUCAAGUCUUGUUCCUCAAGAAAGUUUGAAAAAUAGUCCUCGUUUCAACUUCACAAAUAAUGCCCUCCACGUGUUCAACAUAAUUCCCAUGAAAGAAUGAUAUUUAGAUAAUCCAACUAAAUUUGUUCACUUUGAUCUUCUUUUCACGUACAAAUUACAAUGUGUGGUGUUUGGUUUUACCAGAAAUCGCCACAAGAGCAAGAACCAUCUGUGAAAUGAUGGAACCUAUUCCGAUCUCUCAUAACGAUUUUCCGUCCUGUGAUUUUCGAUAUCAGUUUUGUCACCGUAUGACAAUCAGAACAUACUCGUAGGUUCUUGAAUAUUUUCAAGGGACUUCCCGGUUUGGUGCUGAUUAGACCGUAUGCAAUCGCGAGUCUCUCGCUGUGAACUUGUAGAGAUUGCUCUUUCUCUGUCUCUUCAAGAUCCUGCAAGACUGUGUUUGUAUUUGGAACAUAACCAUGAGACUUGAUCCGCUCGCUGAUCUUUCUUAGCAUUGUGUAAAUUUCUUUGCUUUUCGAGUGUUCUCUAUCUCCAGCUCGGAAUUCAUGAACUUUGUUUUCGAUUUCUAUGGUGCUUAUACCAGGCUCCUUCACUAUUCCUUUCUCCUUCAUCAAGUUCCUCACUUUUGCAACACCUUCAUAAUCACCCACCGAUGCAUAUAUGUUCGAAAGAAGAACAUAAAUUCCUGAGUUUUUGAUGUUUAGUCCAAUGAGAUACUCUGCAAUUUCCUUGCCUAACACAAAAUCUCCAUGAAGUUUACAGCUUCCGAGAACAGAACUCCAUAAGACAGAAUCAGCAUCCAUGUUCAUGUUUUUUAUGGUUUCGUAAGCCCGUUUUAACUGGCCAGCACGACCGAGUAGACUGACCAAGCAUCCAUAAUGUUCAAUCUUGGGUUUAAUCCCAUACUCUUGUCCCAUUGACUCAAAGAUUCUUAUCCCUUCGUUUACUAAACCAGCGUGAGCACAAGCCUGAAGUGUUCCUAUGAAAGUUAUAUCCGUUGGUUGCAACCCUGUGAUCCCUUGCAUCUCAUUAAACAAUCUCAAUGCAUCUUGGCUAUAACCGUGCAUUGCAUAACCAGCAAUCAUCGCAUUCCACGCCACGAUAUCCUUCCUUGGAGUAUCGUUAAAAACUAAAACUGCCUCUUCCAAACUCCCACAUUUGCUAUACAUAUCAAUCAAACCCGUACAUACUUUAACAUUGAGCCUAAUACGACUGCUCUUGACAAAAACAUGGAUCCAACGCCCAGUUUCCAGCGCUCCAAUCUGCGAACACGCUGAAAGAGCAGCUACAACGGUUAUUUCAUCAGGUUUUGGUUUACCUUCGGCCAAAAGUUUCUGAAAUAGCAUCAGAGCGUCAUUAGGGAACCCAUGUUGAGCGUAUCCAUCAAUCAUCACGUUCCAAGAAACAAUGUCUCUCUCACACAUACUAUCGAACAAAGCUCUCGCAGCCUCGACGUUCCCCUGCUUUGCGUAGCAGGUGAUCAUAGCUGUAGAAGAAACGAGACUCCUCUCAGGCAUUCUAUCGAACACUUUCUGGGCAGAUACCACAUCUCCUCCUUUCGCAUAAACGUCGACGAGACCAGUCGCCACGUAAGGAUCAAUCCCCAAUCCGAAUUUAAGAACAUGGGUAUGGAUCAAUUUUCCGGACUUAGUUGAGCAAGAUUUCAAAAGCGACGAGAAAGUAAACUCAUUGGGGUUGAUUUCAGAAGAAAGCAAUUGAACAUAAAGCAGGAAGGCUUGGUCUUUGAGGCCGUUAAUGGAGGCAGUGUUGAUUGCGGCGGUGAAGAGGAACAAGUCUGGAUCGAUCGUCUGGUGAAAUAAAGCCAACGAGUGGCGAAUUUUGCCGUGGGAAGCGUAUGCACGGUGGAGCUUGAGGUUUAGAACUGGGUAACGAGGGUGGAGGAGGAGGUUAUGACGGAGAAUAGCUGCGUGGAUUUGGAGCACUUCAUCUACUGAUUGCGAUUUGUCGAUUAGAACUGCAAGUUUCUCUGGCGGCGGAAGGCGGAAUCUGGCGGUUGCGGUGGUGGAUAACUGAUUCUGCGGUAGUGACGUGGCGAGAAGUGGUGACGAAGCCAUCUUCUAAAUUUCCAAUAAAAUGGGUUUAAUUCAUUAAUGUUGCUUUGAAAAACUUCAGGCCCGUAUGUUAAUGGAAUAGGCCCAUUAUUCUUGAUCAAUUACAGGCCCAUCUUAUAAAUUUAAAGAUGAAGACGAGACGAGUAAAUGUAGCUAAUUAAUUAAAUUAUACUGUAUUUUUAAAAUUCACAAGCCAAGACAAAUCGUGGAAAGAAAAAACAGCAUAUAGAGCAUAUAGUAUAGUAAACUAAAGGGAUAAAAAAGAUUUUGGUUGGGGCAAAGAGAUCAAAGAAAGAUUUUGGUUGAGACAAAGAGAUCAAAGAAAUUUUACAAUAUAUGCAUGUUCCUACAACUAAAGUAAUAGUCAAGAAGAUUAAAAUUUUACAUUUGUAAUCAAAAAAGGAAAGAAGAGGGACAAAACCUAGAGGGGAGUGAAAAGAAAAAGAAAAAAAGUGGGAACGAGACAAAAGGUGUAAGAAGAAGAGACAUAUUAAUUGUGUCUACAGAACUAAAGCUAUGUUCUGUGUUCCGACCUUAGUCAUGUGACGUUCCCGUCAACUUCUGUUUUAAUUAAAUUCUUUUUACUUGUAGAAAUUACGUGAGAAAAAAAUAUAGAUAUUGUAGAAGUAAAUUCUAGAGAAAAUUUGAACUAUAUAUUCGUUUCCGGUUGAAGUUUUAAUGUUGGAAUCUAAUACUAUCUAAAAUUCCACGGUAACCAUCCAUUUAUAUUUGUAACACGAGUGUAAAAGACAACGACCAAGAGUCCAAGACUAUAACAAAAAUUGAUUUUAGAUAUUUACAUCGAAAAAAAAGUAGAGAAUAUUAGAAAGAAUUGAACACUGAAACUGGACGUGUCGCGAAAACGAAAGCGACUGAAGAGAAAGUGUUCGGUAGUUGGAUUGCUACGGCCUAAUUUGCCGUAACACUCUACCAUACUUGGUCCAUUCUUGUUUAGUAUAAAUUAAACGUAUAUAUAACGUAUACGUAUUAAUGUUUAAAAAAACGUAUACGUACUAAUGUUUGAAAAACAUUGUGAUGAAGUUUGAUUUAUUAAAAAGUCAAUACCUUUUCAAGCCCUCUGACAUUGAAACAUAUUAAACAUAUAUAUUGGCAAAACCAUUAGCUAGAACUAAGGUUAUGUAAAAUUAGUCACUUUAUAAUAUAGAUUAUAGAAUACUUUUGUGUGCGGCGUUCCAAAUAAAAAAAAUUUAUGUCACGGACUGAUAUUAAUCUUGUCCCCUCGACCGUUUUUUUUGUUUAAAGAAGACAAUAUUAAUCCUGCAUUCGAAUAGAUAGGUCGAGUUGUUAAUUUGGAAAACCAAUAAUAUAUUCUAGGGGGUUUCGUAUACGAGUAAAAUUUCCUGAUCAUAGCUUGUAAGAAUCUUUUGAUUGUUAUAUCAUCUAGGAAGUCUAAAUUGCACCCAAAAAAAAUCUAGGAAGUCUAAAGUCUUAGUAGAUAAGUUGUUUUUUUUCCUUCUCAACUUUUUGGUCAAAAUAAGCAUAUAUAAGUUUAUUCAAACAUUUUGAAGUUCCCAAACAGGUUAAAUUAUCAUGGUAUUUAACUGGCCAGUGUAUCAGCGGCUUUGAUCAUAACCCAAUUCCAUGAGUUGAUUUCUUUACAUGAAUUUGUUUUGGAACAUAUUUAUGUACAAUUUGUUAAAACGUAACUAGAUCUAUUUCAAAAUAUAUCAGCUUUGAAUCUCUUAUAGUGAGAACAGCAUGAUUAAGGUUUCAAUACUGAACAAAUAUAUACUGAAUUUUUGUAAAAUCAAAGAAGUUAUUUAACAUUUUAUGAGUUGCGCAGUCUAUCCUACAAAAAUUUCUUAUAUUGUACGUAAAACCCUUGUGUAUGUAUAUAUAAUAAAACUAUGUUUGGGAGAAAUAAGACAACUUCUUACUACUGGUUGAUGGAUACCUAUCAGCUCGAAAUUAAAGUAUAUUAUUGUGUCCACGGAAAAAAAAAGUAGAAAACGCAUUAUUUGUUUCUCCUUGUACAGAAAAAUCAGCAAAAAAUGUAAGUAAGAGAAGAGAGAACGAAAAAACAGAAAUGACAGGACAAUUGUAAAGAAGAAACAACGACAGUGUUUGCCCAUAAACUUAUGCUUUUGUCUUUACGGUAUCUUUGAUAUCGAAACAUGUACAAUUGUUUCGAAAUAAAAAUAAGAAAAAACUCAUGCUUUUGCCUUUUAAAUGCAUUUUAUGUUUGUUCUUUACUUUUAUUGAAAGCUCGAUCAUUAUGGGUUUUUUUUUUUCAUUCAAAUUAUAUCGAAAAUAAAUCUCCUAAAUUGCGAAAAUAAUAGUGACAUAUCAACGUAAAGUGUGUCUACUUCUUUAAACAGGAUCUGUUCACAUGCAUGCAGUAAAGAUAUAUAUGCAUAUAUAGAUUGAAUAGGACCAAUUAUGGCGACGUACAUGCAUGUGCCUAUAAAUUAUCUUCUCACAAUGCACCAAUUAUUUAUGGAUUAUCACUUCUUUUAAGCUAUGAUUAUGGAACGUUACUUAAUUAUGGAUAGAGUCCUGUUUAAUUCGAAACACUCUCAAUUGCAUGUAAUAAUACACUCAAAUUCAGUGAUUAUUUCUCCUUUUUAACAUAAUUGCUGGUUUCCAUAUUUUCACUAUGCAUCACGUAAACACGUGAAAGACUUGGUUGUUAUAAUAUUGUAAAUAAGUGGUGAAUUUUCGUAUCCUCCCACCUCGCAUGCGGUAUAUUUUGUUUGUGUGUUGAUAAAGUUGAACUGGAAAAAUCAAAUUGUCGUAUAUAUAAGUACAGAAAAACUUAAAGCUGUCGAAAUUAUUGGCGGAAUGGUUGUUGCCAAGAAGGGUCCCAAGUCUAUAUUAUCCAAAGAUAUCUUCACAAAUAUCGUCAGCAACGAAAAACCAUAAAAUAAAUAGUAACGACGCCAUGCCUUCUUUGGAUCUAAUCUAUAUAUCUCUCUCUUUAACAUAGAAUAAUCGUGUUCUUUUUUCUUUUUUUCUUUUUUGAUAGAAGUUGAAUUGGUCAAAUUUUAGUUUGUACAAAACUAAAUUCGCUUACUAGAUGUUUUUUUUUAUGAUCAAGGAAAUCUCAGGCAAAAAAAGUAAACCAAUCAUUAACAUAUGUAAAAAAAACUGUAAUAAUAUGUUGAAAAAUAGUCACACAUUGAAAAGACUAAUCAUUUUUAUUUUUAUCCUCUGUUUGAUUUUUGUUCUAUAAAAUCUACCAAAACUAUCGCCAAAAGUAAUCUAAUGAUCAUGACAUUAUCACUCAUUCAACUAUGGCGUCCAGUAAAUGGGCUAGAUUGAAUUAAAUGUGCGAGUUAUAAAUUUUGAUUGUCAAAUUUGGAUUUUAAAAUGGUCGUGGAAUAUUAUCAUUUAUCAGUACUAUUGCCUACCUAAUUCAAGGGUCAACUUGAGUACUGUAUAAUAUUGACUUUAAUUAUAUAUGGACAAUUGACAACAAAUUAACGUAAAAAGGACCAUAUAAAACACCCUAUGUUUUACUGUCUAUAUGAACAUCUAUUUCAAAUUUGUUUUGAAAUUUACAUAAUAUGUUACAUACUAAUUAAUUGAAUGGUAAUUUUGUACAGGGGACAAUAAAUAUCUUUUAGUGAAUAAGAAUCAGCCUUCCAAAAAUAUAUUGAUAAUAAUUAUUAUUAUAGUAGUCAGCAGCCUUCGAAUAUAUCUACUAUUCAUAUAAGAAAAAGCUAAUGCCGUUAAAACAAAAUCCUACUAAUAUAUGAGAUAGUUGAAGUGACUAUUCUAAUGAACAAUUUGCUCCAGAAGAAAAUUUGUUCCCGAAAUGUCUAAUCAAAGAUAAUGCAUUAUCCGUGCGAUUAGCCUCUUCCUAAAAUAGCGACCAACGUCUUUUUAUUUCGUUAAGUUAUUUAUAAUUAUUGGUCCCUUUGGCUUUUUAAUCUUAUUGUUAAUAUUAGUACUAUUUAAUCAAGGCCCACAUGUCGAGCGACCCAACGCCAUGACCGAAUUUAUAUUCUAUCAAAUAUGCAUAUAUCAUAUUGUUUAUAAAUGGUCUUGGUGUUGAAACAUAAAUGUAUAUACAGUUGAUGCAUUCGUUUAAAAAAAUUCCAGAGUCCUAUUGUGGUAAAGAAAUAGACUAUAUAUAAUAUAGUGAAAACUAGUGUUGUAUGUCUAUAACUUCAAAUUAGUCUAUUUCAGUUUUGACAAAUCGUUAUCCAAUAAACAAAAUUUAGUAAUCAUACCAAAAAUGUAGAAACCUAAUUCAAUCUGCACUGCGGCAUACCAUUUAAACCCCGAAUGAUUAAACUUUAUUCAUUGGUGAUUUUUUUUUUCUUAGUUUGAAAAUAUGGUUUACCUAAACAACGGAAAACAAAGAAGAAUAAAGUUUUGAUGAAUUAUUGCAAACACAACUACACAAGGAACAACAAGUAGGAGAUUAAAGUCUCGAAACCAUAUUAAAAGGAGAUUGGUGACAUAAGUGCUCUGUAAUUACCGUUGUUUGUAAAAAGAACGAAUUUUCAGGAAAAAAAUAAAAUGAAUUAAAUGGAGCAAGUUGGGGAGGGUACAGCACGAGCGACGAUCAUGAAGCCAAUUACCAAAUGAAAUUGUGAUUUAGGGUGCUGAUAUUCAUAAACUUGGGUUAAGUCGUUGUUUAAAAUUGUGUUUUGGCUGUUAGCGAUGAAUUAUAGUAAAACAAGAAAGAGUUCUAGUAAAAAACAAAAAUUGCUUAGUACUAAUAAAUUUCACAAGACCAUUCACACUAUACAACAAUAAUCCUUCGUUGCCAGCAGUCUAAUGGGACUGUGUUAUAGGUUAAUCUCUCUUUCACGGACUAUUAAUUUUUGGCUCAACCUCAAUGUAAUUUAUUUAAAUUAUAUUUCAACGCAUACACGUGAAUUUAUACAUCUUUUCAUAGGAUUUGCAAUUCCGGAUUCUCAUCCGUCCUAGGAGGUUGUAUAUGUAUAUUAUUGGUAACUACAGCAUUAAACAACUUUAACACUAAGUACGAUGAUAUUAUAUGUACAUGUACGUAUGCUAUAGAUUGAUAUAAGAAAAAAGUAAAGAGAGAGCGGAUGAUUGUUGAUUGAACUAAUUAACAAUAGUGUAUUAGGUAGGCUUGUAUCCGACAGUCAACUUAAACUUCAUAGUUGAAACCAAUAAAACCAGAAGAAAAAAAAUUUAUAUACUAAUCAUAAUCAGCAUGAUGUUAGACGAUUUGAUAUCUAACUUUCUUCGUUAUGAUAGAGAAAUAAUAUUCGCAAUAAAUCACAUAUAAAAAAAAUUACUUUACGUCAUAGAUUAUCAACUUGCCUCCAAACACAACAACAUGAUCCCCUACGCUACAAUACAUAAUAUGAAAAAUAAAUUAAUCGUUGAUUAACUUAAAGUCACUCCGUUAAUAACGUUAUAAGCAAAGCUUAUUAGUUUUUUUGACCGUCAUUAUCGACGACCAAACAAAGAAAGAGUCCCAACAAAUUAUGCCACGUAAGUCCAGAACGACGCCUAUGAAACCAAUAAGACAAAAAUUCAAAAACCAAAACAUCCGUGAAAACUCUUACGUGGCGGUGACAUGUGGGUCCCUUAUGUCUCCAUUAACUAACAUAAGCUUAUUGUCGACUGUACCUUUUGUCCCCCGUCUCGGCUACAACCCUGUGACAAACAAAGAUCAAGUCAAAAUAUCUAACCUAAAGUACUCUCGUCCACGUGGACAUUGCUGACGUGGAACUUCUCCCUUCUAUAAAUACAGGCUUCUCUUCGCCGAAUUAUACUCAUCAAACGAGUAAAACAUUUGCUAAUAUUAAACACUUUUUCUUUUAGAAAAAAAAACAAAUAUGGCCGUUGAUUCACCUCUUCAAUCUCGGAUGGUUUCAGCGACGACUUCUGAGAAAGAUGUGAAAGCUCUCAAGUUCAUUGAAGAAAUGACUCGGAACCCUGACUCGGUUCAAGAGAAGGUUCUUGGAGAGAUACUGACUCGUAACUCUAACACCGAAUAUCUGAAACGGUUCGAUCUUGAUGGUGUCGUUGAUCGGAAAACGUUCAAGAGCAAAGUUCCGGUGGUUACGUACGAAGAUUUGAAGCCGGAGAUUCAACGUAUAUCCAACGGCGAUUGUUCUCCGAUCUUGUCUUCUCACCCCAUCACCGAGUUUCUCACAAGGUAUAAUAAUUAAGUCAACUUUAUCAAUGAUUAAUAUCGUUGUUAUAAACAAAUCAAUUACGUGAUUUUGAUCAUAAUAUUAAAUUAGAAAAAUACUUAUAGAAUAUUGCUGUUGACCGUAAUUUUUUUUUUUUAAUUGUAUGUAUCUGCAGCUCAGGAACAUCUGCUGGUGAGAGGAAACUAAUGCCAACAAUUGAAGAAGACUUAGACCGACGUCAGCUUUUAUACAGUCUUCUCAUGCCUGUGAUGAAUCUGUUAGUAUAUAUACUUUAAACAUUUAAUUAUAUCUAUUUUCGUAACGAUUUAUUAAAAUUAACCAAAAAAUGUUUAACUACAGCUACGUGCCGGGAUUAGACAAAGGCAAAGGGUUAUACUUCUUAUUCGUGAAGUCGGAGUCAAAGACGUCAGGUGGGUUACCGGCUCGUCCGGUUCUCACGAGUUAUUACAAAAGCGACCACUUCAAGAGACGACCGUACGAUCCGUACAACGUCUACACUAGUCCUAACGAAGCCAUCCUCUGCUCCGACUCGUCCCAAAGCAUGUAUGCUCAAAUGCUAUGUGGUCUCUUAAUGCGCCAUGAAGUUCUCCGACUCGGCGCAGUGUUUGCUUCCGGUCUCCUCCGUGCCAUAAGCUUCCUCCAGAACAAUUGGAAGGAACUUGCUCGUGAUAUCUCAACCGGAACCCUAAGUUCUCGAAUCUUCGAUCCUGCCAUUAAAAACCGCAUGUCCAAGAUUUUGACCAAACCUGAUCAAGAACUGGCUGAGUUUUUGGUUGGGGUUUGUUCACAAGAGAAUUGGGAAGGGAUAAUCACAAAGAUAUGGCCUAACACGAAGUACCUCGACGUGAUUGUUACUGGAGCAAUGGCUCAGUAUAUCCCGACGUUGGAGUACUAUAGCGGUGGAUUACCGAUGGCUUGCACGAUGUAUGCUUCGUCCGAAAGUUAUUUCGGGAUUAACCUAAAGCCGAUGUGUAAACCCUCGGAGGUUUCUUACACAAUCAUGCCAAACAUGGCCUACUUUGAAUUCCUCCCACAUAAUCACGAUGGAGAUGGAGCAGCAGAAGCAUCAUUAGACGAAACGUCACUUGUGGAGCUUGCUAAUGUUGAGGUAGGAAAAGAGUACGAACUCGUGAUCACGACCUACGCGGGGCUCUACCGUUACAGAGUUGGCGACAUUCUUCGUGUCACGGGGUUCCAUAAUUCCGCUCCACAGUUCAAAUUCAUACGGAGAAAGAAUGUUCUGCUAAGCGUAGAAUCCGAUAAAACCGACGAGGCUGAGCUACAAAAAGCAGUGGAGAAUGCGUCGAGGUUGUUUGCAGAGCAAGGAACACGUGUGAUCGAGUACACAAGCUACGCAGAAACGAAGACUAUACCGGGUCAUUACGUAAUCUACUGGGAGCUACUUGGUAGAGAUCAAAGCAAUGCUCUUAUGAGCGAAGAAGUCAUGGCUAAGUGCUGUUUGGAGAUGGAGGAAUCUUUAAACUCGGUUUAUAGACAAAGCCGGGUCGCUGAUAAAUCGAUCGGCCCGUUGGAGAUACGUGUGGUACGGAACGGUACGUUUGAGGAGCUCAUGGACUAUGCCAUCUCGAGAGGCGCAUCGAUUAAUCAGUAUAAGGUACCGAGGUGCGUGAGCUUCACACCUAUCAUGGAGCUGCUUGACUCUAGAGUUGUGUCUGCUCAUUUCAGCCCUUCGUUGCCGCAUUGGUCACCAGAACGACGUCGUUAGAUAAAACUUUAUAUGAAAGAUAUCAACCGGAUGAUGUGCGGUUUUAGAAUAUAAAGCUCUGUUUCUGAUGCUAAUUAAGACUCCCUGUUAGAUUUCUUAUUAGGCUUUGUGAAUCGUACAAUAAAAUUUGAAGUACGUACCGAUGUUUUUUUCCUUCAUCUUCUGUUGGAAUCCAGCUAAUAACUAGCUUUGGUCCAAAAACCAGAUAUUUUUAAAAUCAGCAUUUAAUUAUUACUACGCCCUAAAUUUUCUUUAAACACGGAAUGUUAAUCAAUGUGCCCUAAUACUUCCAACAUAAAAGUUUGGAAACUAACAUUAGAUCUUAAAUUAUUGUUAGAUCUUAAAUUUCAACUGUGUACAAUAAAUUAGAUCUUAGAUUGUGGACUACCCCAAACUCGGGCUUCUCUACUUAGAUCUUCUACUAAAUAUUUGGGCUUCUACAAUGGGUUCAAUUACUUUCCCUCUCAGGGCUUUUAACUAGUUUCGGCAAUUCACAAUUGUAAAACUGUUGCAACAUGGCUCAUUCAGAGAUAAAGCCCAAUAUCAGUAUUGGUAAAUACACAAUUUUAUUUUUUACUUCUUUUUACACGAGUUUCUAGAAAUGAAUAGUUUUUGACAUGCAAACAAUUAGUCAAAUCUCUUGUCGAACAAAUUCAGUGCGAAAGCAAUGUAUACGAAUCAAUAGAUAUGCCCAGAAGAUAAAAUGACAAGUUAUCAUGAAACGAAUUUGAACCAGAAUAAGAGGAGCACACACAAAUGCUUCGUUAAGCAUAUAUGAACAAAACAAGGCCCCACAAAAGGAAUAAAAAAUUCCUUGGUAUGUGACAUAUCAGGGAAACCACACUAACUAAAAUAUUUUUACGACCUUGAACAUGUUGAAUAAUUUUUUUUCCUUUGAAAUUUUAAGAUAUACUGCAAAACAUUAUGAGUACUUGUAUAAGAUAUAUACACAAGAAAAAGAGCAUAAAAAAACAAACUACAAAAAAAAAGGAUUAUAUAUUAAAUGAAGUUAUAGAUAAAUUCAUAAUGCAAUGUCUCCUUUUUUUUUUAGAAUGUUUCUAUUUGACUUAACAACACCUUAAAAUUUUAAUAGAAUGCAACUUAACCGAACUAUUGUGACUCAAAUUAAAUUUAUUUUGGAAACAAAGCUAAAACUUCGAAAGUUACUGGAGAAACGAUUGGAAAACAAUAAAUUAAACAACUUAAUAUGGCAAAACAAUGAAACGUGAUUUUAAAAAUAAGAUUAAAGUAAUUGACCAGAAGAGUAAAUUAGGCUGAGAUGACAAAAACAGCGAUUAGAAAAAGACUAUAGAAGCGAAGCUGGUUCCUCGCUGUCGCUCCAAGACUAACCACCUCGACUAAAACUACUUCUGGUGGCAAUUUUUUAGCAUUUUAUUUAGAUCGUGGUUUUACGUGCAUAAUGGCUUUUGGCUCAAAGGAAAAAAAAAACACAUAAAAAUAUAUUUCGACAUGUGCAAUCAAAUCUUUGACAAAAGAGAUUUGCUGAUUUGCAAUCGCAACGUGAACUAUUAUAUAUUACCAUGGACCAUAAUGUAUUAUACAUGAAAGGUUAGUUUUUUUUAAUAUAUCAAUAAGAUAUUAAUUAAGAUUAACUAAAUGUAUAAAUAUCGACCGUUAUAGACAGAGUGAAAUAACAUAGAACUUUUUUUCACAAUUUUGACAUGAGCUCCAUGCGCUCUAAGACAAGCUUUUCUUUUUUUUUUGCUUGUCGUUUAUUUUUCUUUUGUUGAAAAUGUCUUUUAAUGUUAUAGUCUCUCCAUUUCAUUAUAUGUAUAGUUUCAGAAAUUUUCACAUAUAUUAUAUUAAGAAAAGAAAAAAUUGGUUUUUGUCCUUACGAUUUUUUUCAUUGAUCAAAUACUUAAAAUUAACAGAGAUAAAACUGAAACAAUAUUUUAAAUUAAAACAACAUUUAAAGUGUAACGAAGGAAGUAAAAAAUGUUUACCAACUAUAUUUGUCCUAUCUUUCUUAACCAAGCUAGCUUAUCUUCACUAAUUCAAAGUUGUCACGUUGUCUGUUUGAUUUAAUACUAUUUCGAGUAAAAGCAAAAGUAUCUUAUGGAAAUAUCUGCUAAUACUCGCAAUAAAUAUAUAUGGGACAAAUGUAAAGAAAGAUGUAGUAUGGUUUUAAACUUUUAAUAAUAACAACUAUAUAUAUACAUAUAUAGACAUUUUUAUCAUUAAAACCUUUUCACACCAUGCAGGAUGGUUCCCAUUCUAGACCGGUGACCCUAUAAAUAAUAUGAUAAUUUCCUUGACACCAUAUCACAACCAAAUUCCUUAGAGAAAAAGGAAGAGAAAGGUCAAAGAUGUUUUACUAUGUGAUUGUCCUUCCUUUAGCUCUCUUUCUCUUGGCUUACAAAUUAUUCUUCACCUCCAAAACGAAGCGUUUCAACCUCCCUCCCUCUCCACCUUACUCUCUCCCAAUCCUAGGCCACCACAACCUCCUCAAGCCGCCGGUCCACCGUCUCUUCCACCGCCUCUCCAAAACACACGGCCCAAUCUUCUCCCUCCAAUUUGGCUCCCGCCGUGCCGUCGUAAUCUCCUCCUCCUCACUCGCAACACAAUGCUUCACAGGCCAAAACGACAUCAUUCUCUCAAACCGGCCUUGUUUCCUAACCGCUAAAUACGUCGCUUACAACUACACAACCGUAGGAACCGCGCCUUAUGGCGACCACUGGCGUAACCUCCGCCGCAUUUGCUCCCUGGAAAUCCUCUCCUCGAACCGUCUCACAAACUUCCUCCACAUCCGUAAAGACGAAAUCCACCGCAUGCUCACGAGACUCUCACGCGACGUCAACAAAGAGAUCGAGCUCGAGCCGCUCUUGUCCGAUCUAACGUUCAACAACAUAGUAAGAAUGGUUACAGGGAAGAGAUACUACGGCGACGAAGUCCAUAACGAAGAAGAGGCAAAUGUUUUCAAGAAACUCGUCGCCGAUAUCAACGACUGUAGCGGCGCGAGACAUCCCGGAGAUUACUUGCCCUUCAUGAAGAUGUUCGGAGGGAGCUUUGAGAAGAAAGUGAAAGCUCUUGCGGAAGCCAUGGAUGAGAUCUUGCAGCGUUUGCUUGAAGAAUGCAAGAGAGAUAAAGAUGGUAACACUAUGGUUAAUCAUUUGCUCUCUCUGCAACAAAAUGAACCAGAGUAUUACACUGACGUCACUAUCAAAGGCCUAAUGCUGGUAAGAUAUACGAGUUUAUGCAAAUUAGUGUUGGUAGUACAUAUAAGGGAUCUAGGGCUGUUCAAUUAGUUAGGUUCAUUCAGUUUUUUUUUUGGUUUUCAGAUCUUCUGUUUUUUUGGUCAACUUCAGAUCUUGUGGUUCACAAAUAUAGAAACCGGUUGGGUUUUAAAAGUUUUAUAAUUUGGAUUUGAAGUUUUUCGCAAAAUAUAUCUUUAAUUAUUUUUUAUAUUAGGUAGUUAGCUAGGUACAGCUAUGAAAUGUAAAACCGAAUAGGUCUAUUUACUUUUAUUCCAUUUAGGGGCAUCUAUUGAUUUGAUUUAAGAUUAGUUUUACAGAAUUGGUGGUAUCUAUAGACCACACCAUACCGGAAUUGGUCUUGAAAAGUUAUUUCUUAGGAUUUGGGACCCAUGCGGCUGUCUAUAGUACGGACAAUAAUUUAUUCUUAAAAAGUAGAAACAAUUCUGACUAUUCCUAGUUUCCUAAUUCCUACUAUGUAGAAACUAUUCUGACCCAUUUUUUCAAAAUCGAUAUAUCAAUAUGGUUUCACAUUUAUACGGUUCUAGUUUAACAAGAUUUGUUAAUUAUGCGUAAAACAGGGCAUGAUGAUCGCCGGAACAGACACUUCCGCUGUGACGCUGGAGUGGGCGAUGUCGAGCUUGCUAAAUCAUCCCGAGGCUUUGGAAAAAGCAAAACUAGAGAUUGACGAGAAAAUCGGACAAGAACGUUUGAUCGAUGAACCAGACAUCGCAAACUUGCCUUACCUUCAAAACAUAGUGUCGGAAACAUUCCGAUUAUAUCCAGCGGCACCGCUUCUAGUACCAAGAUCACCAACAGAGGAUAUUAAAGUCGGAGGAUACGAUGUGCCACGUGGCACAAUGGUGAUGGUUAAUGCGUGGGCUAUACACAGAGAUCCAGAGCUCUGGAACGAACCGGAGAAGUUUAAACCAGAGAGGUUUAAUGGCGGAGAAGGUGGAGGAAGAGGAGAAGACGUUCAUAAGCUGAUGCCGUUUGGGAAUGGACGGAGAUCGUGUCCCGGCGCCGGACUAGGGCAGAAGAUCGUGACAUUAGCGUUAGGUUCGUUGAUCCAAUGCUUUGACUGGCAAAAAGUCAACGGCGAAGCAAUCGAUAUGACGGAGACUCCGGGGAUGGCAAUGCGUAAGAAAAUACCUCUAUCUGCUUUGUGUCAAUCUCGGCCCAUUAUGAGUAAGCUUCAGGCCCAUUUAAAAGGUUAGGUUUGUUUUCUUCUUAAAGUUCUUUUUAGUUUUCUGUUUUCUAUGCAUGGAGAUGUGAGAUUUUGCUGCGUUUGUGUAACGAAGGAUAUUUGUGUAAUGCGAACAAAUGAAAUUCCAAUGUUUUGCCCAUAUGUAAUGGUUUAUAAGAUUUGUUUCUCUUUAAUGGUUUCUAAGAUAGUUAGCGGGAUGAUAAAGGUUUGGAUUAACAAAACAUGUCAGAUAAAUUUCUACAGCAAGAAGAUGAGUAUAUUAUACAAAUAUAAUCAAUAUAUACAUAAAAUUGAUAAACUUCAUUUUUUUGUUUUGGCGAGGGACACUCAUUUCUCAUAUUGUGUCACCCAAAAGUCGAAGCUUGUGACAUGUCUAUUAGAGUUUUUAAGCCCAUAUAUUAUAAUAUGGGCCUAGAGCCUCCAUAGAUUUUUAAGAUCUUUAUUGCAAAAAUAGAUCACUAUUUCUGAAAUUUAAAUUUUGGUCUCAUGUUUUAAAAUUUAUAUAAAAACCCCAAACAAAACCUAUAUUCCAGAUUGGCCCUGCUUUUGAGUUCUGAUCUCCUCCCAUCUACGAGAGUUUUGUUAGAGACAACUUCCCAAUUUUGCAUUAAAAAAUCUGUACAUUUUUAUCUUAAAUGAAAAGAUUAUAUGAUUUUUUUUAUUAACAAUGCCUUAGUUCAGAUAAAAUAUCACAUGCAAUUACCUGGCAUCGGGCCAUCACAUAUUGUGUUGAUUACAAGACGAUAACACAUUUGCCAUUAAUUUCUUUUAGAGUAGUCAGGAACACAGUAAGCGACUGUUUUCUUAUAAUAUAGUAUCUCAGACUCAGACCAUGUGGAUUUGCUAGAGAUUCUCAACAAAUCAUAAAUACUUCUUUUGACUAAAAAAAUACUAAAAUAGGAUAAAAAUAUCUGAUAAUAUACAUUAACUAGUGACAUUCUGUGUUUACUACUAUUCAAAUACGUGUAUCAUGAGGGUUAGUAAUAUAUCAAUUAUUUUUUUAAACUAAUAAACACAAAUAUUAAAGAAAUAUUUUAAGAAUUCAAAUUUUAUUCAUUUAAUUACAAUUACAAUGUUGGUAAAUAGAAAUACAUUGGUGUAAAGUAUAUAUAUUUAUUCAAAUUUUAUUCAUUUAAUUAUAGAACUCAAUCUCCCUCCACCUCCACUCGAUCAUCCAUCUCUUUCCUUCCUCUUCACAUAUAUUUUUAAAAAUUUCUUGAACUAUGCUUGUUACACUUACAAAGGUAAUCUUAUAUAUUUUACCUAAGUAUUCCCAGUGUCGAAUUCUUCCUUAACGUAAUAAACAUUAUUAUUAUAUUUUUUCAAAAUAAUUUAAACGAUUAUAGUAAUUUAAUUCAGACAUAAAUAAUAAUAAUAAUAAUAAUAAUAAUAAUAAAUCAUAGUUCAUAUGUAAUAUGCACGUGUGCCUAUAUACAUAUUCGUGCAUAAUUUUGGAUUUCCUUAUCAUGUGCCUAGUUUUGGAGAUUGUUUUAAUUCGGACUAUAGAAAUAUAUAAAUCUACAUUAAUUUAAUAUGAUAAAUAUUAAAUUUUACGUAAUAUUAUGUUAGCAAAUAUGAAAAUAAUAAACGUUUAUUUGAAAAAUUAAUCACCCAAAAUAUUAUAUUGACACAUGUGAAACUAUUUUUUCAAUACAUCAUUUUGUGAGUUAUAAUUCUUUUCGCAGUUGAUUAAUUUUCCGUAUUUGUGAAAGAUGAUAUUCUUGUUUAUGAAGGCUUUUUAAAAAAGAAUUCUUGUUUGUGAAGUUGAUAAUCAAUAUUGGUAUUAUAAUAUAUGAUAUAAUAUAUAUAAUCAACGUCUAAAAAAAAGAUGGUACCAAUCAAGCAAUAUAUAUUCUUUCUUUUUUUGGUUAACGCCAAUAUAUCUUUCAUUUAUCAAGAUCUCUUCACCAACCGAAUAAACAAAUCAUGGUGACUUGGCAAUGAUUCAAUAUUAUAUGUCGGGUUAACUCAUGGAUCAUGUGACUUCUAUUAUAUCUCAUUUUCCAUAAUAAUACGGUGAUUCCAAUAAUACGACUAACAUGAUAUCUAUAUUAUAAUAUAUAUAUAUGGAUCAUUGCAAAGAAGACAUACACAACAUGCCAUAUUUUCUCCAUUAACAACUGAACAUACAUCAAAUAAACUUGGCUCAUUGUUAAAAUAGUACUUUUUCUAGCUAGUAUUCUAUGUUAUUUAAAUUCGUAAUUCACAACAAAAACGAAAUAUUAAUAACAUGAAAGCAAUUUGAAUAAUUAACUAUGAACUAUAUAUAUAUUAUGCAUUUAAAAAAAAUAUAUUAAAACAACCCACCACCGGUGAGUGCUCGGGAAGUUUGUGUACAACAACGGAAAAGGAACAAAAUGACCAGAAGAGAUUAGCAAGAUGGAUCAACAGGAUAGUCGGUUAAAAUCUCCCGAUUGGUGUGUUAUGCAUAAUCUAACUACAAAGAAGGAUUGAAAGACUCAAAAAAAUAAAAAUGUCGCUGAAUAAGCGUCAUGGUGCUUUCCAUUCUUCCAUCUCGAACACGGACACGAUAUGUCCCUCUGCUCAAUAUAAGAACACUCACUCAAACAAAAUAAAUGCUUACUUAAAAAAGAAUUAGUUGAACAAAAAAAAAAAAAAAAAAAAAAAGAAUUAGUUGAACCAAUAUUCGAACUCAUCUAGUAUACACAAUUUAUGGCUGAACCUGAUCUCUUUUGUCAGCUUGAGUGAGUUUGUGUGAAAUCUCAUGUUUUUCUCGUUUGAUACAAAAAAACAUUUAGAGGUAAUAAUCUGAUAGCCAACAAAAAAAAAAAAAAAAAAAAAAAAAAAAAAACUGAUAUGAUACAUGUAUCCAUGUAUGGGCUAAUCCAUGGCUUAUGGCGACAACUGGGCCACAUGCCUAAUGUUGCUGCUAGCGUCGUGGUUAAUUGGACCUGACGUGUAACAGGCUUGGCAGGUUUUUUUUUUUUUCAAUUUGUGUCAAGCCUGUGUUUUUUUUUUCCAAUUUAUUAACACCUCGAUACAGCAAGCAUGUGAAUGUGACUUGUUGCCGCCUAUUAGCACUACUAUCGGAACUUUUCCGGUUUUCCCACACAAUAUUUUUUUAAACGAAAGUUCCAUAUCUACCAUAUCUUUUUGUUUUGCUAAAAAAUUCUGAUUUGUUUUACCAAAUAAAGAGGACUAUUAAACUAAAGCUAAUAACAACGUAACGGGUUUUCAACACCCGGAACAAUCUGGAAAAAAAUAAAGAAUACCAAUUAGAAAGAAGUGGUGGAACCAUAUCAACCAUAUGUUACCCUAAUAAAAAAAUCAGUAUUCCUAUAAGUUAUUCAUAAUUUUAGGGUUUAUCAAAAUAAAUUAUUCAUAAAGCUUUUGUCAAGCUUAGGUUUCGGGAACACGUGAUUUACGUGUUGCCAGGUAAUAAUAGCAUACAAUAAUUCAAAGAUUUUCAAAGGUAAUUUUAAUCUAAAGGCUUGAGGGAGUCGUUGAUAGUGGGGGUUAGAUAAUCCUAAUGAACCCUUAGUUUCGUGGAGGUUGAGACGUAUCUUUAUCCUAGAUUUCACAGUACGAAAAUAAUUCAGUUUUCCAGUGGAUAUUUCAUUGUUCACUCUUCUGGUUUUGAUAUCAUGUUCCACAAGUCUUCCGAAUACUAUACAUCACAUAGUGAUCCAACUAUCCAAGAAUGAUGUAUUAACUCUGUAAAUUAAGAUAACGUUCUUUGUAUUUUAUAUGUCAUUUUAAGAAAGUAUUUUAUAUAUGAUUUGUAUUCAUUUUAAGAAGUAUACGAAGAGAGUUUGAUUUUAUUUUCCUCGUGACGAAAUUUGUUUCUGAUAAAUUUGAAAGAUAUGAUUUAUUUUCUGUCUUGGUAAGGUCAGUUAUCACAUUAAAGACUAAAUAGUAAAUUUUAUGUUUUUUUGUUUCUGAAUUAUUUCAGAAUUUCUUGUUUUAUUCAUUUAAUAUUUAAUAAUAUAUGUUAAAUGAUACUAUUACACUUUAGAAAAAUGUGCUUAUUUCUAUCGUACCAAACUUCUCUUUUUUUACCGAACUUGUUACUGUUUGUUUUGUGAACGAUUUUUGUUUAUAAAAACAUUACUCGUUUGUGAUAAAUUUAACACAUUUUUGCAUAAAAAUGUAUCAAUCAUAUACAAAUGAAACAUUACAUUUUUAGUCAUUUUUAGUCAAUAAGUAGACGUGUGUAUCAUGAUUAGUUGAUUUAAUCAUAAUUAUGAUAUUUAAAAUAAACAUAGUUUAAUGUUAUUAUGUUGGUUUUUAAUAUUUUUAAUUAACGUCAACCUAUUUUUUUUUAUUUUUUUUUACAUAUAACUAUGUUGUUAUGGAAGUCACUAUUAAUUUAACUGAUAAAAUAUACAAUAAAAUAGAAAAAACAAUAGAUUUUAAUAAAAGAAUAAAAAAUUUGAAGAUACAAAAACAGUUCCUUUUUCUUAAUAAAUCAAAAUCAAAGAGAUAGUGUACUGAAGUGAAGAGCCAGCCACUAUACGACAUACGUAUGUAAUUACGUUUUAAUAACCUGAUGGCAAAUAAUAAUAUAUUUUCGUCAAAAUAAAAUGGUCGUAUCUCUUUGCUAAAACCAAAAUGUCAUGAUGUGAUUACUCAAUUUUCUACUAUAAAUAGAUUACCAAAUCAUUCGAUCGGAGACAAUCACCAAAGAAAGAAGUACAAAAUGUUUAACUAUGUGAUUAUUCUUCCUUUAGCUCUCUUCCUCUUGGCUUACAAAUUCUUCUUUACAUCUAAAAAGCAGCGUUACUAUCUCCCUCCCUCUCCAUCUUACUCUCUCCCAAUCCUCGGCCACCACCUCCUCAUCAAACCGCCGGUUCACCGUCUCUUCCACCGCCUUUCCAAUAUCCAUGGCCCAAUCUUCUACCUCCGACUUGGUUCCCGCCGUGCCGUCGUCAUAUCUUCCUCCUCGCUGGCAAGAGAAUGCUUCACAGGUCAAAACGAUGUCAUUGUAUCAAACCGCCCUCGUUUUCUAACCUCCAAAUACAUUGCUUACAACUACACAACCAUCGCAACAACAUCUUACGGUGACCACUGGCGUAACCUCCGCCGCAUUUGCUCCCUCGAAAUCGUCUCCUCAAAACGUCUCGCCAACUUUCUCCACAUCCGCAAAGAGGAGAUCCAGCGCAUGCUAACGAGACUCUCACGUGACGCCCGUGUCGGCAAAGAGGUCGAGCUCGAGUCUAUCUUGUACGACCUAACGUUCAACAAUAUCGUGAGGAUGGUUACAGGGAAGAUAUACUACGGCGACGAUGUCAGCGACAAAGAAGAAGCAGAGUUGUUCAAGAAGCUUUUUACUUUCAUCACCACUAAUAGUGGCGCGAGGCAUCCUGGAGAAUACUUGCCCUUCAUGAAGAUAUUCGGAGGGAGCUUUGAGAAGGAGGUGAAAGCUGCAGCAAAAGUCAUCGAUGAAAUGUUGCAGCGUCUGCUUGACGAGUGCAAGAGUGAUAAAGACGGUAACACUAUGGUUAAUCACUUGCUCUCUUUGCAACAGGACGACCCUGAGUACUACACUGACAUCAUUAUCAAAGGCUUAAUGCUGGUAACGAAUCAAAAACAUUCAUAUGUAUUUUUAAAACAACGUACCUUCAAUAGAAUGAACAGCAACAUCAUUACUAUACAAAACCUUAGGCUACAAAGGUAGUUAUGUCUCUAAGGAUUUUUAAAAAUAUAAAAUUAUAUUUACUAGUUAUACAAAGAUUUUUAUAAAAGUUGAGCUUCUAAUUGGUUUCUUGCUUUUUUUUUUUAUGCACUCGAUUUUAGGUCUGGUUUAUUUGGGUUGAAAAGAUAAGUUAUUUCCACUAUUAUUUCAAAUUUCAGAUACAAUGUUUUAGUAUAGUUUUAAGGGUAUUCGUUUUGGAGCAGUUAAACAAAUCUAUGAUAUUUAAUGAAAUUUGUACGUGUAUGUGAGACUAGCAUGAAUCACGUUUUAAAAUCCUCUGUUUUCUCACUUAUGAUACAUGAAACAGGGUAUAAUGGUUGCCUCAUCAGAGACCUCCGCUUUGACAAUAGAGUGGGCGAUGGCGAGUUUGUUGAACCACCCAAAAGUUUUGGACAAAGUAAAAUUAGAGAUCGACGAGAUAAUCGGACAAGACCGUUUGAUCGAAGAAUCAGACAUAGCAAACCUUCCUUACCUCCAAAACGUAGUAUCCGAGACACUCCGGCUACAUCCAGCAGCGCCGGUUCUUGUGCCAAGAUCAACAGCAGAAGACAUCAAGAUCGGAGGAUACGAUGUGCCACGUGACACAAUGGUAAUGGUGAACGCGUGGGCGAUACAUAGAGAUCCAGAUCUUUGGACCGAACCGGAGAGGUUUAACCCUGAGAGGUUCAACGGUGGAGAAGGAGAAAAAGAUGAUGUUCGUAUGCUGAUAGCGUUUGGAAGCGGACGGAGAAUAUGUCCCGGUGUUGGACUAGCGCACAAGAUUGUGACAUUAGCGUUAGGAUCGUUAAUUCAAUGCUUUGAUUGGAAAAAGGUGAACGAAAAAGAGAUUGAUAUGAGUGAGGGUCCGGGGAUGGCUAUGCGUAUGAUGGUGCCGUUACGAGCCUUGUGUAAGACUCGACCCAUAAUGAAUAAGCUCCCGGCCUACACGAAAGUUUAGUUAUGUUUUUGUAUUUUUCAAUGGAAAAAUUGUUACAUUAUGUUGUGUAACCAAGACUACGAGUGUAAUGCGCGAAUAUAUUGAAAUAAAAUGCUAUAUUUAGCAAAAAUCAACCAAUAAAAGUGUGUUUAUUUUAUUUUAAAUCAUGAUUAACGUCAGCUUUUUCCUGCUAUUUUAAUGGGGUUAUGAAUUUUUCUUUCUUCAUCCAAUCUUUUGGUUGUCGAAAUUUUGUUUUCAGAAUUGAAAAGACUCACAUAAUGUAACAAAUACAAAAACUAAAAAAAAAAUUGAUGGAUUUUUUUAUAUGGCUACAAAAGAAGAUUGUUGGAUACGUAAUCGAAAAUGACGUUAUCCUUCAAGACUUGUUCUUCUUCUUCUCCUCGAUUAACACCAAAAUCCAUCGCCGGAGCAGGAGACGAUGCUUCUCAAUUCUUCCAUCACAAGACAAGUUACAGAGCACACACAACCACACUCUUCUUCAUCCUCGUUUCUCUUUCUCUCUUUGGUUUCAUCUCUCUUUAUUAUUCCCCCAACACGAUUUAUCGAGCUGCCUUCUUUGCCACGACACGCCCAGCUAAAUCAAGAUUCGUUAGUUACGUGAUCAACACUCAAGAUUCAAAUCAUCAUCAAUUAUCCAACGGUUCACGUAGGAUCAGAGCCGAAGCUGUUCUCUGGCCAGGAUGGGAGAUUCUAGUGAUCGUUUCACCGGAGGAGAAAGCUAAGCCACCGCCGUUUCCAGGAGAGAAUUACAUAUGUUUUUACCCUAACGGAGAGAAAUCCACGGCGAGAUUCGCCGCGAUUCUCCCUUUCUCAAACCGUGCAUCAUUCAGAUGCAGUCUUCCCGGAAUUUAUCGCCACCACCAUCCAAUUCCGACUCCGAUCCUCGCCUCUUCGAAAAGGUUCCAACUUUCGCCGGAAACACGUUGGCCUGAUCUCCCUCUAUGGAAUUUCGUCGUUUUCGAAGCCAUUUCAACAGAAACCGACGUCGUUCUCUUAGUCAAGGGGCCGAACCGUGGAUUAGGUUCCAAUAAACCACCGGAGUCGUUUCGGUGUGUGUUUGGUGAGGAGUCCGAUACAGCCAUUAGAACCGCCGUGACUAGCUCGGUCCAAGAGGUGUUCCGAUGUUCAUUACCGAACAUAACGAUCGAUACUCCGGUCAAAAUCUACCUUGAGGCGGUGGCAACCGGUAAAGAAGAGACAAAGACCGUCCCGUCGGUGGCGUAUUAUAGCCCCAAGCGCACGUUAGUGGAACCACGUGAGAAAUCGCUAUUGUGCGCGACGACGAUGGUGUACAAUGUAGCAAAGUAUCUGAGAGAGUGGGUGAUGUAUCACGCGGCGAUCGGAAUACAGAGAUUCAUAAUAUACGAUAACGGUAGCGACGAUGAGUUAAACGACGUCGUUAAAGGGCUUAAUAGUGAAAAAUAUGACGUCAUCAAAGUUUUAUGGAUCUGGCCCAAGACCCAAGAGGCUGGGUUCUCCCACGCGGCGGUGUAUGGAAACGAUACGUGCACCUGGAUGAUGUAUCUUGACGUAGACGAGUUUCUCUUCUCUCCGGCUUGGGAUAAACAAUCACAACCGUCGGAUCAGAUGAUUAGGUCUCUUCUACCGUCGGAUCAGAGCAUGAUUGGACAAGUGUCGUUUAAAUCACACGAGUUUGGACCGUCUAAUCAGACAAAGCAUCCACGUGGAGGUGUGACACAAGGUUACACGUGUCGACGAGAAGAAGAUCAACGGCACAAGUCGAUCGUGCGGCUAAGCGCGGUAGAGCACUCGCUUUACACGGCCAUCCACCACUUCGGUUUGAAGAGAGAGUACGAGUGGCGCGUGGCGGACACGGAGGAGGGAGUGGUGAACCAUUACAAGUACCAAGCGUGGCAAGAGUUCAAGGCCAAGUUUAAACGGCGUGUGUCGGCUUACGUGGUGGAUUGGACUAGAGUCUCUAAUCCUAAGUCGAGAGAUCGAACUCCUGGGUUGGGCUUUAGGCCCGUUGAACCGGAAGGAUGGGCUCAUAAGUUUUGUGAAGUCGAGGAUUUGAGAUUGAAGAUAUUAACCAGAAAAUGGUUUGGGUACCCAGUUAAAAACGGUUAUAGGAUGGCAUGGCAGAGAUGAUUUUUUUUUUUAUUAGAUGGGUUCUUUUGUUAAUAGCAUAGUUGUUUUGGUAACAGUUUUUUUUCUGUUUUUGUGAACAGGUUUGAAGUUUUUUGUUAGGUGAAAGUACGGAACUCAAAAUAGUUUGAAAUGUGACUAGAGUUAUUUUUGUCUAGUAAUCCCAAUGUCCCAUUUAAAAUAUCUGAAAUUCGGUUUCAAAAUAUAAUUUUUCUUCGUGAUACAAGACAAAAGUAAAGUAUAAAAAGGUACAUUCAGAGGCCUGGCUACCUUAUCUGUAACAAUCAUUGUAUUCUAAUCAAUGAAUGUAUUUUAUGAGUUCAAAGAAAGAAAGAAAAAAAGAAGAUUGGAAACGUACGUACGUAUAAGUUUCUGUGAUUUGGUGCGAUGAUAAUAGUUUACGUAAUUAUAAACCUUUUAACCAUCUUGGACCUCAUCAAUAAAAUUCAGAAGACAACAACUUCAAAGGAUAUGAAUAGUUGACUAACUGAAAACGUACGAUGAAGAAAAUGCAAAGCAAACAAAAGAAUGUUAUCAAGAGCGGUGGAAAAGAAAUGCUUUAAUGAUGUGAUUCAACAUCAGUACAUCACCAUACUCGUGUACGCAACUUUAAAAGUUGUCAAAAAAAACAGACAUGUGAUCAAAUAUGAUUCGCAAAUGCAUCGUACACAUGUGACAUGAACAAUUAUAUGACAGAAUUUUGUUUUUGUUAGUGACAAAUUUUCUUCUUUUUUUUUUCUUUCUGUAGCGGUAGAUUCCAAUUAGUAUGAUAAGAAACCACAUACAUAUAUAUACACCUUUUUUUCACGACCACAAGAAAAUAUAUUAUUGUUUCCUUCUUCUGCCUCCAACAUUGAUAUGCUUUCAAAAUUCUCUAAUAUGAGUUGUCUUACUGUUUAGGUGACUUUUGAUUCAAUAGAAUAAUUUUCUUUUAAAUCAAUUUAUGAACACCUCACGGAAAAUCAUCUAAGCGCAAUGAUGUAUGAAUGAAACGGUUGAAUAAUUCUUGAUUUUAUGUUUAAAAACAUAUAAGCACCUCGAUCGCAGCAAGCAUGGGAGUGUGAUUUGCACGUUUCAUAUAUUCUCCUAGUCCAAUUCUCUAAGAGAAAGAUAUCGAUCUAUGAGAUGAGUUCUAUUUAUUGUUCGGUGAGUUUUAAUUGAUCAAAUAAAUAACUUUCUUUGUUAAUUAAUUAAACACCAUGCGACUAUAGUAUUACUCCAUAUACAGAGAUGUAUGAUUAGUGAACACGAUUGUAGUAUCCUCGAUUUCUUUUUGUUAUCAAUUUCUUUUACACCUUGAUCACAAUCUGAGUGGUUGUUACUACUUAUUAGCACGUUUCAUAUAAAGUAAAUAAUUUUAUCAAUUAAUAAUACAUAUAUGCUUCAAGUUGAGAGCAAUUAACGCUGUCAAAACAACACAAACAAACAUUAACAAUGAAUUUUGGGAAGGUGUCUCUCAUCUAUGAUUGAUUUUAAGAUUUGUUUUUCCUUCUAUAUUUGCAGGAAGGAAUAGUUCUAUACAAUCAUCAGCUAAACUUCAAAUUCUUUGUAAUCGUAGAUGUUAAUAGUAAACUCGAAUAUUCCCCAAGUCAUACUAAUAAACAAUGAAAAUUGAAGAAAAUAAAAGUCAUAAACAAUGAAGAAAUAAACAAAUUGCAAUAUAACAAUUUCUUACAAUUCUCGACUUUUGCGCCUUUGAGACAUGGUCAAUUAAUAUUAUGUAUAGUAAUGGUAGUGGACGAGUGGUUGAUAUGUGAAUCCGAAUUUAAUCCCACAUCACGAAUUUGAAUGUUUUCGAAUUUCUAUAUUAAAAAGUUUUAAAAUGGUUGCCAAGUUGUAUUGGUUCGAGUAUCUUUAUUCCGAGACUAGCAUAUGGAAAAGAUUAAAGAAAGAAAUUCUAGAGUUUGAGUUUAGUAGCUUUAUUGGUGGAGUUUUGAAUUAGAUUGAUUUAUAUGGAAAACGUGAAAACUUGCAUGUGUUCGAAUUUCCAUGUGAAAGGUUAAAAAAUUGUUUUCAAGCUGGCAUGGGUUAAUAUCUUUAAUCUUCGACGAGCACAUAGAAACAAAUUUCAGAGUUUUUAUUUAACUUAAUAAUGGAGUUUUGAGAGAAAUGAUAAUCAUAAUAUGGAGAACUCGAAAUCGUAGAAGAUGUUUUUUGUUUUUUUCCUCUGGUCUUUUAAAACGAAAAGCACAACUUUCAAGUUCCACUACUAAUUGUCACGUUACAGAUAUGACAUCACUACUUUGAUUUGAGUAAAAUUUUCUCUAUAAAUAAAAGAACAAACAAACCAUAAGCCAAAUCCUCGCACAAGUAGAAAAAAACACAAACAUCCUGAAACUAGAAGAGAGAGACAAAAUGUUAUACUUCAUCCUUCUCCCUCUUCUAUUUCUUGUAAUAAGUUACAAAUUUCUCUACUCCAAAACGCAACGUUUCAACCUUCCUCCAGGACCACCGUCACGACCCUUCGUCGGCCAUCUCCACCUCAUGAAACCGCCGAUCCACCGUCUCCUCCAACGCUACUCCAACCAAUACGGCCCAAUCUUUUCCCUCCGUUUCGGCUCCCGACGCGUCGUGGUCAUAACAUCCCCUUCUCUCGCCCAAGAAUCCUUCACCGGCCAAAACGACAUCGUUCUCUCCAGCCGGCCGCUCCAACUCACCGCCAAAUACGUCGCAUACAACCACACAACCGUUGGUACAGCUCCUUACGGCGACCACUGGCGUAACCUCCGCCGCAUUUGCUCCCAAGAGAUUCUCUCCUCUCACCGUCUCAUCAACUUCCAACACAUCCGCAAAGACGAGAUCUUACGGAUGCUCACACGCCUCUCACGUUACACACAAACCUCCAACGAAAGCAACGAUUUCACUCACAUCGAGCUAGAACCGCUCUUAUCUGAUCUAACAUUCAACAACAUAGUAAGAAUGGUUACAGGGAAGAGAUAUUACGGCGACGACGUCAACAACAAAGAAGAAGCAGAGCUAUUCAAGAAGCUAGUCUACGAUAUCGCCAUGUAUAGCGGCGCUAAUCAUUCCGCUGAUUACUUACCAAUACUAAAACUAUUCGGAAACAAAUUCGAGAAAGAAGUUAAAGCUAUAGGCAAAUCAAUGGAUGAUAUUUUGCAGCGUUUGUUAGAUGAAUGUAGAAGAGAUAAAGAAGGUAACACAAUGGUCAAUCAUUUGAUCUCUCUACAACAACAACAACCUGAGUAUUACACUGACGUUAUCAUCAAAGGCCUUAUGAUGGUAAAAUUCUAUAAACUUCUGUGAGAUUUCAAUGAAGUGAAUUGUGAGAUUCGAUUUUAACCUGAUUGUUUUUGAAAUUGUGAAGUCGAUGAUGCUCGCCGGAACUGAGACCUCCGCUGUGACAUUAGAGUGGGCGAUGGCGAAUCUACUGAGAAAUCCAGAAGUACUGGAGAAGGCGAGAUCGGAGAUCGAUGAGAAGAUCGGAAAAGAUCGACUAAUCGACGAAUCAGACAUCGCAGUGCUUCCUUACCUCCAAAACGUCGUCUCCGAAACAUUCCGGCUAUUUCCGGUGGCGCCGUUUCUAAUCCCUCGAUCACCGACGGACGACAUGAAAAUCGGAGGUUACGACGUCCCGCGAGAUACGAUAGUGAUGGUUAACGCUUGGGCUAUACAUAGAGAUCCAGAGAUUUGGGAGGAGCCAGAGAAGUUUAAUCCAGAUCGAUAUAAUGACGGAUGCGGAAGCGAUUACUAUGUUUACAAGCUGAUGCCGUUUGGGAAUGGCCGGAGAACUUGUCCCGGCGCCGGAUUAGGUCAGAGGAUUGUGACAUUGGCGCUUGGAUCGUUGAUUCAAUGCUUUGAAUGGGAGAAUGUGAAAGGGGAAGAGAUGGAUAUGUCUGAGAGUACUGGGUUGGGUAUGCGUAAGAUGGAUCCUUUACGGGCCAUGUGUAGGCCUAGGCCCAUUAUGUCAAAGCUUUUACUCUAAUAAGAUGAGUAGAGGUUAAAAAAGAAAAAAUAACUUAUUGGAUGUAACUGGUAAUUAUCUUUAAGAUAAAGAUGAAUAAAAUGAAUCUUUGCCUCAUAAAUAACAAAUAAAUAAUAGAUAAUUUAGAUUCUUUUUAUUGUUAACUAAAUUAUCUCCAUAAAAUACUUUUUAUAUAUAUAUAAUUUAUUCCAGUAAAAUUGAGUUUAGGAUGUUAUUUUACUAAGAUGCAGUUUUCUUAUACAAACGAUUUCAAAGCUUAUUUUCCGAUAUAAAAAUUAAUUUUGCUUAAAUCCUCAAGAAUUUUUUUAUUCCACUGACGAAAUUUCCAGGCUUCAAAUCUCGCUGAAAUGAAAAAUAAAGUUAGCAAUAAGCAAAUAAUCAGUUUAAAAUACGUAUCAGAAUAAUAAAAUAACAUGAUUUUAAACUAACUAGCAUUUUCUAUAAGAUACUAAAAAUGUUAGCAAUUGCGUUUUAACGAAUGGAUAAAUUUUCAUUUUAACUAGUUACAUUUAAGUUUACUCUAACUAGUUACAUAAGAUUUAGACUUUUUUACAAUAAUUAAUAAUCGGAAUCAUGUCAAAACUGAAAAUUUUGUAUGUGAAUUGUGAAUGAUACGUGACUAAAAUGCUCGUUGUUGUUCUUUAACUGUGACUUUCAUAAAUAAUCAUUGUUAUCUAUAUAAAUUUACCUUCCGAGAUUGAACUAUAUCCAACGUCUUCUGGAAAUCUUCCUCUCGACGUUUAAGUUCAGCUAGUGAUUCCCACUGAUCUGGUAUUUCCAGGAAACGCCUUAAAAAAGAAAAUUAGAGAAACCAAUAUUAACGAUUUAUCCAAAAAUACAUUAUCCAUGUCUAUUAGAAAUAUUUAAUAAGCAUAUCUAUAAAAUAAGAUAUUUACUCCAAUUGUUUUUCCACUUCGGCCAGUCGUGCAUUGACUUCUUCGAUCUCAUCUUCGAUCUCCUAUUUUAAGAAAAAAAAAAGCAUGCAUAAGUACUUUAACUUUUUUUUGUUUAUAUACCUAUAUAUUGCCAAAUCAUGAGAUUUUUAUUUUAUUUUAAUCAACAUGCCUUUGGUUGAAUUAGAUAACGAAGCCCAUCGUCAAGACUCUCGUCACUGCACUUGGUUUCUGAACGCAUCUGCAUGACCAACCGUUGUAUAUUCUAGAUUCUCCAUACCAAUCAAGAAAAACAAAAAAUUUAGGUAACGUUAAACAAAAUCACUAUACGAAAAUCGAGAUGAAUUAACCGUUAGAUAGUUUUGAUUUUUUUACCGGUUCAUGAGGGAGGCUGUGUUCGAUCAGAUGGACCAACCGAGUACAAUAUCAGGAGUUCAUGCAUAUGUAUAAAAUAAGAAUAUUAGAACUCAUACAAUAAAAUUAAACAAACCUAUUACUUUAUGUUCUUAUAUAUAAAUGCAUGCAUUAACACAAUGAAUUUACCGUGUGCGUACAGCCCGAGCAAGAAACUUGCAUAUAAUCUCUUCGGGUCUAUAAUCAUGAACAAUAACGAUGAUUUGAUAUCAGAUGAUAGUAAUAAUAUAUAUGAUGAAAUAAUAAAAUAUUGGAGCUACAAGAAGAAGAAGAAAAUGAAAACGUAAUUUAUUAAUAUAAUAUACCUCUCUUUGGCAUAAAAGACGAAGAGUUUACCAGAAGGAGAGAAAAGAAUGAGAGCAACUGGUACAUUACAUAGAACAAAGAGUUCAUAAGCUUUCUUUAAAAGCCCAUUUUUUCUUUUGGCGAAUGCAAUAUUUCUUUGUUGCCUAUCAUUUAUUCUUUUAAUCUGUAUUUUUACUCUCCCCAUUUUUUCUUGUCUUCUUUUCACAAUGUUUUCUCUUUCUCAAUUAGCUUUCAAAAUAUUUUUUAUAAGUUUAUUUAUAUAGUUAUGAGAAAGAACUUUCUAUGGCUAAACUUGUAGAUUUUCCAUUAAAUUGUAUCAAAAUUACUAAUUACUUUAAAUUAAAUAAAUUUAUUAAUUAACAUAGAACCAUAAUCUUGUUUGUCAAUCAAAAGAUUUAGUUUUCUUAGUUAAUCUUUUCUUCUCCAGAUAUAUAAAUGGGUAUUAUCUAUUGCACAUAUAUUUUAUAAAUUGAAGUAAAUAAUUAAUAUAUUUAUAAUAUAAAGUAAAUGUUAUAUUCAUUAGAUUAUGAAUUUGGAUAAGAAAUCUCAUUUAUUAUGGCUCAGUGGCCCAUUUCAUCCCAUAUAUGAAUUGUGUUAUCAAAAUUUAUGUCCUGGAUGAAUUUUUUUUACCAAAUACUAUAUGUAAUGAAAUGUUUUGACCAAAUAUAUGUAAUGAAAAAAAUAAAAAAAAUUGGGUCAAAAGGGAAAGAAAUCCUUCUCUAGAGGAUAAUGGACCCCACUUGUGUAAGAUAAAACAGUCUCUCUCUCUCCCCCACAAGAAAAAGCCUCGACCACCUAACGAUAAUGGUGGCUAUGAGAUCUCCGUCUUUUCUCCGUCGUGUUUCUCACCGCCGAUUAUAAAAUACUUAUCUACUACCAUCUCCUUGUCGGAAACGGCGAGCUAAGUCGAUUAGGUAUUUAUUCCUUUUAUCUCUUUUAUCUGUUAAAGCUUUCUUAGGGUUUUUGUUUUUGUUGUUUUGCAUUUGAAAUUGUGAUCUCAUCGACUAUCAAGCUUCGAACUUUACAUUAGGGUUUUGUGUAAAUUCGUGUUCUUCUUCACUUUCUCUUUCCAAUUCGACGCAUAUGGAUACGUGAUGAAAGUUUUCGAAAAUUUGUUCAAUUUCAAGUUUAGUUCUUUAUGACUCUACUGAUUCCGGAUUUUUCUAGGGUUUUAAUUGAGAAGAAAUAAAAAGGAUAUUUUGGUAUGGAGGUGAAGGAAUCGAAGAUAGAUAUGGAUGAUUCAGUCAAUAAGGAGAUUGGGGAAUUACCAAAAGAUAUGCCUUGUACUAGUAACUAUGAGGACCAUAGUUUUCAUAAUCAUGUUGAAGAAGAUGUCACUGAGGAUCUUCCUUGUGGUGGUGAUGAUAUUGAUGCUGAUGCUUCUAUUAAAAAAGAGGUUGCAGAGUUCGACGAGGACGAGGUUGAUAUAUUGGAAUGCAAUGAUAACAUUGAGAUUCAAGUCUCAGGGUGUGAUGAUGGGACUGAUGGAUAUUCGAGUUCGUUUGGUGGAACGGAUUCUGAACAUGAGAAUGAUCAAGAAGUUGACUCCAUGAUUUGUAAUGAGACUUCACUUCCUCUUUGGGUGAGGUAAGCUCUUUCCUCACGCUUCUUAUUUAGUCUUUUAUCUUAAUGGUUUCCAUGAAGGUUUGUUGUGUGUUUAACCAAUAGCAGAAUGAGAAAAAAAUGUCCUCUUGCUUAAUUUGGUUUUGUAGAGAUUUUGAUGGUUUUGGUAGCUUGUGUACUUUUACUUUUUAAUUGAACACUAUCAGUUCCAUCUCUAUGUUGCUGGAUUCUUAAAAGACUGAAAUUUAGGAGUUACUUGGGUUCCUGUACUAAUGAGAAAAACGUCUGUAGCUUAAUUUGGUGUUGUAGAUUUUCAUGGAUUUGGUAGCCUUGUUUACUGUUACUUAUUAUUGAACACUAUCAGUUCCAUCUAUGUGUUGUUUGAUUGAUUCUGAAAGGACUUAAAUUUGUGUGUUACUUUACUACGACUUAGCUAGCUGCGUCUUUGAUUUAUCUCCUUUUAAGGAAGUCAGGAGAAGAAUUGCUCUAUAUCGUGAAUGGUAUGCGGUAAUUAUUAUGGUUUGUUCCUUUUUAUGGCAGAAAAAGGAAGCUGACUGAUCAUUGGAGGAGGUUUGUACAGCCUACUUUAAUGUGGCGUUGCAAAUGGAUUGAACUCAAAUACAAAGAACUUCAGAACCAAGCACAGAAGUACGACAAAGAAGUUGAAGAAUAUUACCAAGCCAAGAAGUUGGAGUUAGAAAAUGUCAAAUCAGAAGAACUUGGAGUAAAGGCUUUACCUCCUCUUCCAUGUUAUACUCAGAAAACCCGACUCAUGAAGAGGAAAACGAGAAAGCGAGUUGAAGAGACCGCUGAUGUUACAUCCUAUGCAUCAAACCAUAAUCUCUUCUCUUAUUAUGGUAUGGAACUAGUUUGGUGUUCUUGUCUUUCUGGUCGUGAUUAAUGUUCAUCUACCAUUACUUGUCUAAUAAUUUCUUAUCUUAUUGUUUCUGAUCUUUGUAUAGAUUGUCGGAAAUCUUUGGCCGAUAUUGCUCUUAAUGACAACUCCCGCAACCUAGGUAUGGUGUUCUAAAAUCUCAACUAUGAUAUGAUAUUACUCCUUUUGAAAACUUUGAUCUUAUAAAAUAUUUUCUGUCUUGGGUCAUCAGAUAAGAAGAAUAAGAGCGCCAAGGAUGAGACAGCUUUCUCUGAAGAGACACCGCCUCUCGAGUUUAGAGAAGGCGAUGCGUACUUGGAACAGAUACUUUUGAAAAUUGAAGCAGCAAAGUCAGAAGCCCGUAACUUGAAGAUCCGCGUAGACAAGGUUUUGAGUGAAAAUCCAAGUAUAUUCCCUCUGGCUAACACAGUGAAUCCACUUGGAGCUGCUGAUGUAUACACCAGCUCAGAACAACAAAAGCCCCUGCUGGCUAUCAAAAACGAAGAUGAGAAAUCGAUCAUCUCUGAAGAAAAACCGGUGAAAUCUGCUUCAGUUUCAUCUCAUCACGUCUCACCUGAAGACGACGAGACAACAGAUAUUUUACUGUCUGAGAUUCUAGCAUCAAAGCGAAGGGAAGGGAAAUCUAUUAUUCCCGAUAAGAAUCUAGUGAAGACAGAACAAGCUUCAAUUGAGGAAGGUCCAUCAAGACCUGUAAGUUUUCCGCUAACUCAGUGUAACUUUGCUAAACCCUUUUGGUCUCAUAUGCCAUUCUAACACAACGCAGGUAAGGAAAAGAACACCGCGCAAUCGUGAAAUCAUUACGAAGGAAGAGAGUAACCCAAAGAGGCGUCGGGUUUCAAGAGAGAAGCCAAAGUCUAAUGCUGUGAUGGCUUCUAGGUUUUCCAACAGGAAGAGAAAGCGAGGAAAACGAAGGUCAGGCUCUGCCGGGUUACGAAGAAGAUCCUGAAGAAGGUUUGGAAACUUUCAAGUAACUAAUCGGAUCUUGUGUUAAAAAGUAAAAAUUGUUCAUUCUAAGAUAUUCUUAACUCUUAAGCCUUUAAAGUACAAAGAAAUAUUUAUAGUGGCUGUGUUUUGAUUCUUCAUGUCAACAAUAUAUUCAAACUACAUCAACUUUUGAACUUUACUUCUAUAAUUUAGAGUGUAUAUAUUUUUCUCUAUUUUGUAUUAUCAAUCAAUCAUGUUUUAUAUCUUGUCGGUGCUAAGUUUUUUUUGUUUGGAAAAGAAAGAAAGCUUAGUUAAAACACUAUUUCAAAUACAUUCGUCUAGAGAGUUUGGCAGAGACAAUGGCUAAAAUGGUGACCGUAGGGACGAAUAUAACAUCAGGUAUAAGUUUGAUUAAUUUUAACUGAGGAACAUUCUCUCCUGCUCUCUUAGCCGCCAUUGCCGCCGGUGGAGAUACUAUUCCGGUGAUCAUAGUGACAUCAUCGAGUUUACUUGGCUUCACGCUCUUUGACAUGAACUCAAUGAACAAUUUUUUCUUCUCUUCUUCGUCUUUCGCUUCCUUCCACCGCGCGAAACAAACCUGUUUAGAUCAUUCAACAUUGUGUUAAAAAUAUAGAGAAAUUAUUAUAAGAUUCUUUGUGUGAUUUUGAUAGAGGAGAGGACUCACCUUUAUUUGGUCCGGGGUUGGGAAAUCGAAGUGCCUGCCUGGUAAAGCCGAGUUGAAGUUGCUGCACUCAAUAGAUAAAAUUCCUUUUAAAAAAAAAAAUGUUGGCCAACAUAACCAUUGUUUUCGAAUGAUCAAAUAAUGAAACAAUCCUUACUUAAAGAUGUCUAAAACAGCAACGUGGAAAUCGUCGAAGUUGUUGAUAGCUUUUUGGGUAAAUUGUUUGUAGAGUGAACCCAUUACCAUAUUCAUCAUCUGCGUCGGUGGUACCCCUAGGCCAAAUAUCGAAAUCUAUUUAGAAAGAUAUAUAGGACGAAAAUUUGUCAAAACGGUUAUAUAACGAUUUGAGUCGAUAAUUGUUAGGUUAAAAAAUUGCAAAACCUUUUCCGAGAAAGCCCAUUGAACUACCCAUAUUGUCUAGAAGUUAGUCUUUAGGAAGAAGAAAAUGUUAUGUUUAUAUACAAAUUUGUAUUGGUGUGUGGAAUCAGAGACUUGGCUUGGUGGGUUUGUGUCUUUGCAAAGCCAAGAAUCUUGAAUCUCUACACAAGACCUUGGUUCAAGUAUAACUUGUGCUUUACUUACAAAAUCUUAGCCAUUUCUUCACAGUUGAGUAAUGUACUUUUAAUAAAAGCAUGGGGAAUAUGACUUGUCCUCUAUUCUCACUUUCUUUUUGCCUACCAUAUUAGAUAUCCAUUAAUUUUUUUCUUUUUCAAAUCUAGUUCUCUAAGGAACAAGACAAAAAUAUGAAUCUAGCUAUUUGAAAGGUACAAUAAAAAGCAUUGUAUUAUAUGAUUGGUUGGAUCUAUACAUGUUUAGUAAUAAAUUUUAGACAAUUCAUUUAUAGCAACUUGGCCACUUGAGUUGGGUAUCAGAUAUGAAUUCAAUAAAUAUUUACCAACUUCACAUUAUAAAAGACUAAGAUCCAACUAAGUAGCUGACACUUUCAUUCUCGCAUAAUUAUACUCCAAUUGUAAAUAUUUGUUUAAAGAAACACAUGUAAUUGGUUUCAAACGUAAAUAUCAACAUUUGAUUUACUAACACUUUAAACAUUUAAAAGACUAAAACAAAUUAUGUAACUGCUUUGCUUAUUGUUACAUAGACGUUACUUACACAAACAUUUUAUUUUAGAGUAAAUGUCCAUAAUUCUGCAUUAAAAUUGAAUGUGUCAUUUUCAAUAAAGAACUCGGACCCAUCACUAAAGGACUUUUGUCUGCAAAAGAAAAGAACAAUCAAUGUGUAAAACAGUAUUUUCAUCACUGACAGAUAUGAAUUCUUAUUAUUUCCAUAUAAAUAAAAUAAAAGAAAACAAACUGUAUAAUCAAUUAAAUAAUACUCAUUACCAAAUUCGUAAAGAAAGAGACAAUGGUAGGGUCAAAAAUAUAAAAACUAAAAAAUAUCAGAGGUGAAAUGAUAAAUAAUUUAGAAUGCCAUAACGAGAACGGCCCAUGCGGUUGCAACCGCUCCCACCGCUACAUUCCUCAACACCCUUGUGCUCGCUGCUCCGCUCUGCAUUCAAUUCCAUAUUUUCAUUUUAGUUAAUCGAAUAUGUAAUUACUAAAUCAAUAUAACAAAAAUUGAAAAUCUAUGUUCACUGUUUUGAAAUGUCUCAUUGGUUAUUUUUAACAUUGAUACUCGAACUUGUGACGGUAGAUAAAUAUCAACAUUGUUGAUAUAAGCUAAUGUACCUGAUCGUCGGCGGAAGGACCGGGAGAAAAAGCGUCGGAGUUAGGUCCGGGAGAUUCAGUCGGUGGUGCAGGUGGACCGAGAAGUUCCGGAGCCGGAGCAGGUGCAGCUUGAUGCUUUUUCGAUUUCUUUGUAGUCUUCUUAUGCUUGCUUGGAGCAGGAGCCGGUACAUCAGCAACCGGAGCGGCUACCGGAGCUGGAGGAGAAUCAGCUACUGGUGCUGGAACCGGUGGAGAGCUCACUGGAGAAGAAACCAUUGGUGCAGGAACCGGAGGAGAGCUCUCUGGAACAGGUGUCGGUGGUGGAGACGACUCGCUAACAGGAGCCGGAGAUUUUGGUGACUCAACCGGUGAAGAAGCCGAAGCAGUUGGAGUUUUCGCCGGAGCCGUAGUGGGAGAAGUAACGGCGGGGGAUUUAGUAGGGGAAGUAGUUGGAGCAGAAGGAGUGGUGGGAGAUUUGGUCGGAGAAGAGAUAGGAGAUUGGCCACCGACACCGGCGACGACAAUGCAGAUCAAUGUAACUGUUAGGAGGAAAUUGCGAUCCAUAAUUUUGUUAAAAUUUGGAUCAAACAAAAAAAAAAAAAAGAGUUUGAACUUUGAAGUGAUGGUUAAAGUACUGAUGGAGUUUAACCAAGCGUGUUGUUUGUUUGAUGUAAGAGAAGUGAGUUUUAUAUAGGCGAUGAGGAGAGAUCUGGAUCGUUGGAUUAAAAAAGGAUCACAGACAGAUGUAGCCGUUGAGAAACAGAACAUCAUAUCCUGUAUCUAUUAAUGUAGGAUUCAAUACUUUUUUCAUUUUUAUUUUACAGAAUAGCUCUUUUACUUUUUUCUUGUGCGUUUUUAUAAGGAUUUUUUUUUCUUGGCAUUUUUCUCCUGUUAUAUUCUGCAAUAAAUUUAUUCGCCAAUGGUGGGUAGAUUAGCAUGUGUUUUGUUGAACAUAUGAUCAGAUAUAGAAAAUCAAUUAAUAGUAAUUGUUUUUACGUUAGACAUUAAAUUGGUUAUACUAUAAAUCACUAGUCUUGUGUCAACAUAAUAAUUGGAUUUGAAAUUGAUACCAAUGUCGCUCACAAAUUUUAUCAUUGUUUAAUAAUUAUGAUAUUUUAUAUUAUAGAUUAUAUCACACGGUCGAGAAAUUUCCAACUACUAAAUUGUCGGGAAAUUAUUAGUUAAAAAAAUAGCACAAUAUAAGGUACAUAGUAUAAUUGAGAUAAAUUUUUGGGGUACGACACAUGGAGUCUUGGAUUAGUAUUAUUAUGUGAUCAUCACGGGUGAAAUUAUUAUGACUUGAUGCAUCAUGCGUCUAUAAAUAAAUAACCUUAAUAAUGAAAAAUGAUUAAACUCAAGUUCAAUAUAAUGCAAUCAAAAUAAGACAAGGAGAAUGAGGAAAAGAAAACGUAAACAAAAAAAAAGAGAGUCUUUGAUCGGAAGUUAGAGGGAGAGGACAGCUGGUUGAUUGAUUUUGCCACUUUGGAUUGGUGCCCACACGGAUUUGUUGGCACUUUCUUCUAUUUUGGCUCGUUUUAAUCUAUAAUUUGUUGCCACCGUCACCGUAAUUGCCUGAAUACUCUUUGGCCUUUUUUCAUUCGAGUCGAAAUGGAAUCAAAACCGUUGCCAAUGAAGAAACGUAUUGCUUAGGAGCUACGAUUUUGAUUUCUUUUUGUUGCUUCUCACUUUGUUCCAAUCCUUCUUUCAAUGACUUUAUGUAGAAUAUUGAAAAGUAUUCAUAAGCGUUUCCUUAUAUUUAUUAUUUUGUGUUUUGCCAGACUAGGAGAAAACACGUUUCGGUCUUAAGCCAUUCUUAAUACUUUUUUUUUUUUGAGUUUUUGAAUAUAAAGACAAUGAGUAAGUGGAAAUUCUGAGAGCGGCGCGUCGGUGGAGAGAAAGCCCAAGCUAAUGGUCGUUCGUUGACUUUGUUAAAGACUUUGACGAAUGAGACAGUGAGUGUUAUAACGAUAAUAAAUGAAACUCGAAUCUUGUAAUCAUUUUUUACUAUGAAGCAAUUAUUUUGAGAUUGAUUUCAGAAACAUGCAACGGUUAUAUGAUCAUGGUAUCAAUGCUGUCAAUCAGAGCAGACAGAAGAUUGUAUUAAAAAAAGAGGUGUCAGAAUAAACUUAAAACAACAUAAGAUCGGCCAAGGGUUGUAAACUCUCAUGUUGGAACCUCUCAUGUUGAGACCAGAGAAAUCAUAUUUAGAUACAUUAUUAAAUCUGUAAAAUUAUAUUAAACACGAGAGUUAAUAAAGUUAAAACCCUAACAAAGCUUUUCUAGCUUUUUUUUUGUUUUUUAGAUCAGAAACAGACGGAAGAUGUUUGACUGAAACACAAGUUUUCUUACUGCUCAUGGUUUAGUUAGCCUUCUUCACCUCUUAUGAAAGAUUGUGAGAGAGACACAGAGAGACAGAGAGAGAAGGAGAGACAGAGAGAGAGAGAUUUGAAUCUCAAUCGUUGUAAGUGCUAAGCGCAGCAACAACCGCUCCUGUUGUCGAAAAAGCCGAGGAAAUUUCCGUAUGGUCUCUCCACGACGUAUUGAUUUUCAGGGACGGGUAUAACCAAGACUUAACCGAAUCAACAAAGGAACCCGGUUCGACAUUAAGUAUAGCUUCCCAAUCGAUCUGUAACCCUUUCGGGAUAGUCUCAGUGAACUCCAUAUUAGCAGCAAGCAGAAGUCCAAGUAACACUACAAAUCCUGUUACAGCAGUUCCUCGAGCUAAUGGCAUAAAAUUGUACCUGGUAAAAAAACCAAUGAUUGCUAUUAAAUACCAACAGCUUCCGAGUAAUUAAUCAAUCAUACGUUAGGUUGUCAUAGUCGUUUACCAGUAAUAUGUCAUGCGUAAGAUGGCGUCUCUAACGGUUUCUAAAGCGUCGAGCUCAGUAGAACCAUAGUUCUCUCCACAAUAGGCAGUGCAUAAAGCCUGUGGAUUCAGUUAGACUUUUGAGUUUGUUUUCUCAGAAACAAAAGAAAUACCAAUUAUUUGCAUAUGCUUAGGUCUUACCUCCCAAGCUGAGGUCAUUUCUUCAUCAAAGUCGCUCCACCUUGCAGGUGUACAUGGAGUUCGAAUUGAAAAAUCAUACCCCAGCCUUCCCCUGGAUAAACACGAGAGAAAUUUAUUGAAGAAAGUGGUGUGAUUAGGAUUUGUGUUAAUCACAUGCAACAAAAAGUAAAAUUUACGGUUUUUGAAUGCAGGUGAUUCUAGUUCCUUCGAGGCGUUUCCUGAAGAUAUGAACAAAGAAAGCAAAAUCAACAUAACAGAAAAUCUUCAGUGAAGAGAAUUACGGGACAAAUCAACAAACCCACCCUUCAGAUCCGGUACUGUCGCACCAAGUAGCCACCCAGAAAUCCUCACCAACAAUAUUGUGUAGCUCAUCACACGUUUCAGCACGCAUUAUCUGCAUCUCGUGAGGAAAUACAGUAAGAGAACAAUGAUAAAACGAGUAUCAUUCACGCGAGAAGAAAGAAACACUGACUUUUUCGAUCUUCUCAUCUUUAGAAAGAUCAAUAACUUUAUCUUUCUUGCUGCGUACAGAGAGUUUAUCCUUGAUGAUGCUCUUUGCAAGAGUCAGGGUUCUGAAGUAACAUAUUAAAAACUGAUCAGUCCAUGGACUGAGACAAAAUCAUAUUGAAUACAUGAAAAAAUCUCAUGUUUUCUAUUAUAUAUGCUUACCUUUCAUAAUUUGGGAAAUAGCGUACUACUUUAGCUUGACCGAGUACCAUUGGUGUAUGAGAACCAAACCCAGAAUUAAACUCUUCACUGCAAUCAGUAUAAACAAUCUCAACUACCCAAGUAAUCAAAUGAAACUAAAGUUCGGCAAUUGAAGUUCUACUUAAACAUAGACUCGCAGAUGCUGAGCCUGCAAGAGUCACUAGACAUCAACCAUUGACAUAUCAUGGGAAAUGGAACUUGUACCUUAGUUUGUUAACCCACACCACUGGGUCACAAGGCUCUGAAAUUUGUCUCCAUCUGACAGCAGGGGAAUAAACGUCUUGCCAAGACAAGAUAGAGCGGCCUGAUGAUCUAUCUUCUAGUGAGGCAUAUCCAGUUGAAGUUUCACUGAAACUGCUACUACUACACCCAGCACCACCUCUAUUCUGGCUAAGAAUGUUGGUUCUCUCUCUCCUCCGGUUUUUCUUUCCAUUUUUUGUAGUGCCUUUGGUUGAAUUCCUCCACUCUAUGCGCCAAGCUUUGGAAACUUUUUGAGCAAUCUCUAUCACAGCUAAUCCUGCCAUACGGUGCUGUAAAAUCAUGGAAACACAAAUAAUCAAUGGAAUAGAACUAUGAUACGCCUAUUCGUGUAUAGAGUAGACAUCUAGUGAUUAAAUGCAACAGGAACCUUCUGGCGCAAGAAAUAAAGAGAGCUGCUAUGAGGUUUAAAUGUACUACAGGGAAGAAGAAAUUAACCGAAAAAAGAAUGUUGAAAAGGUAGAUACUCCAAAAAUUUGCUGAAAGUCACCUGGCGUUUGUUUGGUAAGAAUCCAGGACAAUCAUAUUGGAUCCUCUUGCCUAUUAAAUCAGCAAAACGAAGAAUAUUCGCCUUCUGUUUGGUUAUUGCAAGAUCUUGCUUUUUCAGUUUACCCUUCUUAAGUGAUUCACGUAGGGGAGGUUGUCUGUAAACCUUUUCACAUACAUUUUUUGGGUGUAAUCUUUUGCACCAGUACUCCUGAAAAAUCACAAGAAAUUAAAAGCCACGUUCACCACAUAUAAGAGUGGAAAAACUCAAAAAAGCAGAGUGACAGUGCAAUGAACUCUGAGAUCUACUUUCUAAUUUCCACCUAGAGCACUUGAAAGCACUAAUAAUCAUCUAGUAUCUCAAAACGAAAUAAAGGAUCAAUUCAGACUUGGAAUUGGUUGAGCUAUUUGAUACUUAAUAUAUAUUGUUUUUUGUUAAUUCAGGGUAAAUCCCUGAACCUAUGGAAGGGUUCAGGAGAAUCAGGACUAAUCCCUGGGGAGAGGGUAUCCCAUGGGUAGGGUCCCCCCAAAUGUUCCUUGAUACUUAAUAUUGAAGUCACAUUUUAAAGACAUUUAAAUGUUCCUUUCCAGCACAUUCAGUAUACCCAGUUAAACUUGACCAGUUUGUUCCCAUAUAUUUCUUUGACACGCAAACAAAGUAAAAGUCCGACUUUGUGGCAACAUUAGAAAUAUCAAGAGAGAGAGAGAGAGAGAGAGAGAGAGAGAGAGAGAGUUAUCACCUUGAACAUUGGGUCUAUGUCACCAUCAAUAUCAAAGCAUAAAAACUCACUACUAACUUUGGAAGCUGUAUACAAGGCAAGCUCCUUCUGCAGAAGAAAAAAGAAUAACUUUAAGUGUUAUUGUGAAGGAAACGUUUAGGGCUGCUACGAAACCUCCAAUUUUAUUAGAUAGACUGAUAGAGGGAGGUUUUCAUUGUUCAGUGUGAUAGUAGUAAUAAACAAACAGAGAAUCAUUACUAUCAGAUAAUAAGGCCAUGCUUUUACAACAUAGUAUUGCAAUAGCCUAUCAUUACAAGUUGCUACAAACAACAGUGUAGAAAGAAAUUAGUCUUGCAGAUAAAACUUCAAAAUCCAGUCAAGCUAAGUUAUUAACAAAGAAAACGGAACCUGAUAAAACGCCAAGCAUUGAAGAACAAAUUUCUCCACUGCAUCAAGUUCCACGUCAACUGUUGCAUCAUAGUCCUUCACCUGUGAGCAUAUUCAAGGCAAGUAAUAAGAGAGUCUCCUUUAAAACUAUGUAACCAUAAAGUUAACAAACAAAUAUUCACCGCAUCUCUAUACUCUCCUACGGCGUGAUAGCAGGAACCUCGUAGGUACAAGCACUCUAUUGUGUUCUCAAUGCUCAAGCCAAUAGAUAAUUCUUGGAUAGCCUUCCUGAGAAAUAAGAUCACCAAAAACAACUACAGGUGAGUAAUAUCACUGCUUUAAAGACCAGCCUUGUACAUAAAUACCAAGGUGUAUGACCACCAAAAGAAAAGCUUCCUUUUAAAACAUCCUUUUGCUCAAACGCAGAUCUUUAUCACCAAGAGUCAGGGGAAGUAAUCUUAUCGGAUAUCACAUUUUAAAGUAGACAUUGAGAUAUCCUUGGAUCCCUCAUGAACAUUUAAGGUAACAUGCACAUCAACAUAGACAAAUUUUCCCCUUUAAACAAAAUUCAGUUUCCAACAAUCCUAAUUUACCCUAACAGAACAUACCUGUGUUCGCCUAAUCCAUGGAACACUAAUCCACGCAAGUGAUAGGCCUUCCAAACCCUGGUCAAGACAGGAAAAUUGCCAUGAGUACGAUGGAAAAGCAGAAAUAUAGUGCAACACGUGGUAUUGCAUCCCAAAUAAGAGCUACCUGUUGUCGACUUGUAGAACCUGCUCAAUGCAUUCCAAAGCCUUGCAGUGGUCGGCCAACUCUUGAUAGAACUGCCAGGAAAUGCCAGGAAAUAACCAUCGAGUACAGUGAAUAAAAAGGAUGAGUGUAUCAUAGGUAACUGAUUUAAGCAAUAGACUAGGAUGAACAAUCAAAAUUAAAGAUAUAAGAAACCAAAUAAUCAAGUAAAGUUGGUCCUUCAGAAAAAUCUUAAUUAGCCUUCAAAAGUCAUAAUUUAAGCUUUCUUCAUUUUGAAGUCUCACUAGCUUUACAUAAAACUAAUGUUUAUUCACUAUUACAUGCAUGAAAACACCAAAAAAAAAAGAAAAAAAAAAAAGCAAUGGUUAUAAUCCUAUUUUCAUCACAGUUCAGCUUAAUAGUUGAAAAUUCAAUAGACAAAGCAUAAUCUCAUACUAUUUAUUUUAUUAUUUGUGUGUUACCUGGGCGAGAUGAAGCCAUGCUUCAAGAUAAUUACUAUCCAAUUGGAUGGACUUUAAAUGCGCCUCUUCAGCUUUUUUGUAUUCACCAAGAGAAGCAAAUGCUAGUCCCUGGAGAGAUCAACAAAGUUUUACUACGAAAACAUUUGCGUCCAUGGUUACUUUGGAAACCAAGAAUAACGAAUAACAAUAGAGAAUAGUCUUACCAAAUAAGUGUAUGCAGACUUGUUAUCUUUCUCUUGCUUCAGACAUAUAGAUAGGUCCUUCACAGCAGCAGUGAAGUCCUUAGAUUUGAAAUUAACAAUACCUGAAUCCAUUGUGAAUGUCAGUAGUACUUCAUGGUUUUUCACCAAAGAAAUCAUGUAUUAAGAAAUGAAAACUGAAAUAAGGCGCAAGAUUUUAAAAGAAACACUGAAUAAAGACACUUACCCCUUUCGUGCAAUACAUCAGGUGAGUUUGGCUCAAAAACAAGUGCUUUAGUCAAAUCUUCAACCGCCUAUCACAAAGGGUAUUUUAAUAAAAGUGUUGUACAAGAAACGUUUUUGGAUUUUUACCAAUAAAACGCAAGCACUAAACAGGCUUAAACACAGACAUCAAUCAGCGGAUUAUCCAAAUUAUUUGAUAUCAAUCAGACAAUAUUAUUGAUUAACCAAUAAAUAAUCAAUAAAUGUGCAGGGCGAACAUUAGUAACAAGCCUUGUAAAGUACAUUAAUUGUUUAUGCUUUUAGCUCUGAAUUAAGAAAAGAAGCAGCGAAUGGAAUCACUAACCUCAACAUAUUCCCCAAGAGCAGCACGAGCCUGUCCUCUCCGCUUCCAGGCCUCACUUGCUGCUGGGUUAGAUUGGAUAGCCUGACCAUCAUCAUCAUAGAAGCAGAAUUGGUGAACUUAACCCACUGUGGUAACAACUCUUGUCAAAUAUAUGAAUACCUUAGUAAAAUCAGCUAUAGCACUUUCAAGCUCUCGUUGGAAUGCAUAAGCUGUCCCUCUUCCUAUAAGUGCCUCAGGGUAAGUUGGUUCUUCUUUCAGCACCUGCACAUAGAUAAACUAAAUAGUAAAAAAAUUGACCCAAUAAUGUUUUCCCUAAACAACCUCCGAAAAGAAGAUAAACAGAGAAAAAAAUAAGCAAGAGACACUCGCCAGAGAUAAAGAUCACCAAAUCACCUUAUCAAAAAUAGAAAUAGCUUUCGUAUAGUUUCCUUCAUUCACCUGUUGACAAAACAGAAGCUCAGUCAUCAAAAAUUUGGAAGCUAUACCUUAUAGCUCUUUUCUUUUCCUUUUUUUCUGUGUAUUGCUAUACCUGUGCAAUGCCUCUAGAAAGUCGAAAAUCCACACUUAUGGAAUGGGUUCCCGAUAUUCUUGCUAUGGUGUACUUCUUAUUUUUCCUGGAUUCAUCACUAAUUCCGCAACGUGCCUCAGCUUUAUGGCUCAUUUUGCUAGACUUAAUACUUAUCUUGUUUCCAUUAAUCGAUAGCUCCCCGAACCGAUCGGAACUUUCAGCUAAAUUAUCAUGCAAAUCAGAACCAUUACAAGGUUUACAUGAUUCAUAAUAACCAUUGAUUUGGCUGCCACACUUUCCAUUCUCUUUUUCCUUGUACACUGAUCCGUUACAUAAGUCGGAAUUACCAUCAGAUUGCUUGCUAGCCUUGGAUGCAACUUUUGAAAAGCUUACUAUCUUUGAUUGCUCGCCCAAUUCGCUAGAUGACUCAUGUGAGUUCCCAUUGCUACUUGCUCCUGAUUCAUGGUUGUCCAGCUUGUCACUUUUUUCAUCAGACUUCUCACUAUGAUAGGCAGGGGUCUCUUGCGGAGACUCGGUGGCAUGACUUUUUAAAAUCCCAUCAAUUUCUCGUCUUGCAUCUUUUAAGAGUUCUUCUAAUUCAAGUAACUGCUUCACAUCUGCUGUCUGCUGCAACGCACUUUUAUACCCUUGCUCCAAAACAAGAACAGCUUCCUGUUUUCUCCCCAAAGCCAAAAGAGCGCGUCCUAGAUGGAAAAGCUGAUACACUUGAGUUCACAUGCAGUAUACCAAUCAAAGUAAACCAUGAUCCGGUAACCAUAAAAAAUUCCAUCCCCGAUAAGAUAUAUAACUUAACAGAUAUUCUUAAGCAACCAUUAUAUCGUCAUAACUAGCAGGCACUAUAGCAUUAUCUAAACCCCUAAUUCUAGUUCUGAAGCUAUCCCGAGAAUCAAACUCAAUUCCCAGAGAAACUAUGAAGCACUCAAGUCAAAGCUUGGAAGUGAACUAACCUUUGAGAAUAAAAGCUUGAAUGGCAAAAGGUUCAAGCAGAAGUGCCUUGUCACAGUCCUUAAUCACAUGCUUGUGAAGCUCCAAUUGAUUAUAACAAAACGCUCUAUUGCUGAAACCAAAUUCCCAAUUCAAAAAAAAAUACUGAGAUUAACGGGAGAAAAAUCAUUGAUACCGAUCCGGAGAAAUUGAAUGAGAGAACAAAGAUCUCGAAACCAAACCAUAUAUCCAAAAUUGAAGACUCCUUAGCAAGGAGCGAAUCGAGAACUCGGAUCGCUUUAGACCAGUUCCGUGAACUGCAGUGCUUGGCUAACUCGAAUCGUUCCGAUGUCGCCGUCGCCGUCGCCAUUUUUUGAGCGGUGGUGUCUCCGAUGGAGAAAUCAAUCGCCUAUUUAAUCUUUCUCAAUUUUAUCCCUCUUCUUCGUGGCCGUCGUGUCACGGGAACGAUGGGUUUAGGGGUAAAAAGGGAAAUUAGUACAGUGGAGAAAAUGGUAAAGAGAGAAGACUUUGACGGAGAACGAAACGGGGAAGAAAAAAAAGUAACGGGGAAGAGAGAGAUAGUAAAUAAAAAAGUAACGGAGAGAUAAGAGCGAAGAGACGAUGAUGGUGAAUGUGAAUGUGAUACUGGUGGUGGUGCUUGUGGUGCUGCUGCUGCUUCUCAAUAAGUGGUGCUAAUCAAAUUUUGGGGCAAGAGUCGCACACGUAUGAAGUUUCUUGUCACGUGACUUUUUGUUGUGUAUAUAUGGGCCUAGCCCACUUAUUAUUUAUUACCCUUUUACAAUGGGCUAGCUCUGUUAAUCGUCUUGCCAAAGAAAUUCUAAGCAAAUUGAAGUUAGGUGUGUGACUGUAUUGGAGAACAAAUUUGAAGUAUAUAUAUGUUCUCAAUUCUUUCAUGACUAUGUAAACAUUUAAAUUGUAUGACCUGCAAUGAAUUUUAAAAAAAUGGAAGUUUAAUCAUAGUAUUUGACUUUUUUUUUGGGUAGGCUAAUCAUAGUAUUUGACUAGUGAUGAAGAAAUAAUAUUGUACCAAAUGAUAUUUAAAUUUCAAUAAUAAAAUAAUUUUAAGAAAAUAAAUAGAAGUUUUAUAUAAAGUGAAUUAUAAAAUGGAAGUUUAAUCAUAGUAUUGACUAGUAAGAAGCAAUACAAUAUUUACCAUUUUGUUUUGUAUCACUAAUUUUUUAAAGCUAUUUACUUACCAAUCUAUAACUAAUUUCAUAAACAACAAAUCGAAUAAAAUCUGAGCAGGCGCGUCAAUAAAAUUUGAAAGUUAUUAGUGAUAAAUGAUAAUAUAGAAAACAAUAUCUUUUGCACCGCAUCCCUAUAAUAACAUCAAACAAAUCCAUAAUUUCAUAAGCAAACAAACCUAACAAAAUAUGACUUAACUCCAUCCUAAUUCAAAACCCUAAAUUUUCAUUUUACUUUGUUUAAAACUUGGCUAAUUUUUGUUCACAAACAAACAAAUUUCAAAACCAUCACAAUAUGUAUGUUUUAUGGUUUGGAUUACCCAUCCAUAAAUGCAAACUCAAUGCUAAUUCCUAGUAUCACAUGUUAAUUACUCUUCACACAGUAUAGCACAAGCACUCUUGCAAAGUUGCAAUAAUUCACUAUGGACCAUCAAUUACGAACAUCACUAUUACAUCAAGCAAUAAUGAGCUCUGAGCAAAGCUGUGGACAAAAGACAGAGACUUUUCGUUAAACAAGAUAAGAACAACAAAGAUCAAGAUACUCAAGAUAAACGAAUCAGAACCAAACGACAACGAAAUAAUGUUCUCAAUAGACUAGACAGACAUAUCACAUCAGAUAUUUUUUUUCAACUUUUCUUACAUCGUUUAAUAAUUAACUAAUUAAAUCUCUUACAAUCACAUAGCAAUGUCAUUACGAAUGUGACGGAGGAUGACAGGAAUAACAGAAUCUGGUGAGCUAAGCUGAGGAAGAUGACCAUCAGAAGGAAUAACCUCGACGACGGAUUCACAGCCAAGAUUGGCGUGAAGAUACUCGGAGACAACGACUGGUACAGCUAAGUCCUUAACACUUUGGAGAAUGUGACACGGAACAGUGACAAAAGGUAAGAUCUGUCUCAUGUCACUUUGGAAAAUGGUCUGGCCGACGGAGAGAGCUAUGUCGGGACGCAUAUUGAAGAGUGUUCUGCUGAAUUCUUGAACGGCGAUGGAGUCCAUGUCGCCACCGACGGCGAGUGGAGCGAAACCUAAGCACCACGCUUUGUAGUUGCUUCGGAUGGCUUCGAAUAGUUGGUUUAAGUCUUCUUGUUCGAAUCCACCUUGGUAAUCAACAUCGUUUACGUAUCUAUAAACGUACCAAAACAAUAUAAUUUGAUUAUAUAUGUUUCUUUUGUCAGAAGAAAAUUAAAAUAUAUAAUAUACUGUGUGAGCACCGUUUCAACAAUUUUUUUUAAAAAAAGUGUAAGUAACACCUCAGUAAAACCAAAUAAAAAAAAACAAAUAAACAAAUGGGUAUUUCAUGAUUUUUUGUUCAUAAUUUACGGAUUUUUAUUGAAAUAUAUAAUGAAAUGCUUCACUGAUUUUGAGAAAUAGGAUAAUUCAGACAAGAGGAUAAACAAAGAGGCACUUUGUCGAAAUUAUGUCAGAAUGAGAAAUAAAUAUUUCGAAAUAAUAGAUAAUUGUGUAAAUUUAAGGACUUAAGAUGAUUUUUUUUUAUUUAAAUUGUAAUGUUUAAUAGUUUUUAUGAAAUCAGACAAGAGAAGGAACAGAGAAGCCCUUUUGUCUAAACUAUGUCAGGAUGAGAUAAAAAGCAAAACAUAUUUCUAUGUACAACUUGUGAAAAAGUUAUACCUCGGAGAAGCAGAGAUCAUGACGAUUUUGGAGAAGAGAUCAGGACGGUUAAGAGAAGCCAAGACACCAAUCAUGGCAGAAACAGAGUGGCCAACAAAGAUACAAGACUCAAUCUUGAGAUCUUCCAAGAUUGCAAUCAAAUCGAAAGAGUAGCCUUCGAGAUUUGAGUAACGAUCGAAGUCGAAAUAGUCAGGGUUGGUCGUACCGGCUCCCAUGUUGUCGUAGAGGACGACGCGGUAAUCGUCGACCAGAUGUGGAACCAAGUGUUUCCAUACUGACUGGUCCGUGCCGAACCCGUGACCUAACACGAUCGUGGCUUCUCCUGAACCAAUCACCUUCACGUUGUGAGCUUCUUCUACCACACCCAUCUCUCUAAAGAAGAUUCUUCUCUGGUUUUCUUCUUGGUACCUCUCUUAGUCAGUUCGUGGAGAAAUUAUGAUAUUUGUGUUGUUUUAGAGUGUUACGUAUUAUUCUUUAUAAAAAAAUUCGUAUCUGUGGAAGAGGAAAUAAAUUAUUUAAAAUAUCGCGAUUUACAGGUGGCAAAAAAAGGUGAAUGGAACCAUGUUUGUUGGAUUGUCAAACAUCGCUAUUCGUGAUAAUUUGUUUUUUGGAAUCAAGCCCAAAAUAUUUUGGAACAUUUAAUGGAGUACAUGACGUGGAGUUACUGACUUCUGUUCAACAAUAAAAUUGUUACAUUGGGUUACAAAUACAUGAACCAAUUAUUUUUAAUUUUGUGCAUGAAUUUCAACAAUGCAUUAAUGCGAAAGAAAAUUAGUUUCAAUCAUUCAAAGAGUGGCAGCAAAUAGUCAAAAGCUGAUAUAAUUAUUAUUUUAACAACACUAGUUAAAUUUCGCAUGUAUACAACUUGCAAUGAAUAUAGCAUCUAAAAACCUCAUAAUAUUUGUUUUUUUCUGCUUGACUUUAACUUGUCAGUACUUUUCGAUCAUUUAGAAGUUAGAAGACAUUAAUUAUUCAUGGAAUGCCAUGGUGAGUAUACGACCACGUAUUCACAUCCACUUCCUCAUCAUUUUAAGAGUCAAAAAUAUCUGUGAGAGGAUCCUGGCCCAUUAAAAUUCAAGGCCCAUUUAGUGUAAUAUGGCUUCAUGUUCUCUCUUUCCUAAGACCGUUUUUACUGUUGACCAAUAAAGUCUGAACUCGUGAUGACGUGGCGUGAAAUCGAGAGACCCACGUGUCAUCGGCGUGCCGUUAUCCUCUUUCCACUUCCGGUCUCCGUUCCCACCUGAGUAAACCAUACUGGUCGUGAAAUGACGAUUCUCGCCGGGUUGAUACGCCGGCGUUUUAGUAGAUUAGUUCCGGUUCAACUGAAUUACGGUUUCGAACCGUCGCGAAUUCUCUUUAACCCGAGUCAAGGAAGAACUCGGUUGCUGAGCGGCGAGGCUGAGUCCAAUCGGAACGAGUUUCCGGUGGAGAACGCUUACGAUAUCUUGAAUGUCUCCGAAACCAGCUCAAUCGCAGAGAUCAAAGCAUCAUUUCGCAGACUCGCCAAGGAGACUCAUCCUGAUCUGAUCGAAUCCAAGAAAGAUCCAUCAAAUUCGAGACGAUUCGUUCAGAUUCUCGCUGCUUAUGAGGUACAAUGAAGAAAGCUUCAC
rnacentral:lncRNA from 1 species